rnacentral:lncRNA from 1 species
UUUUUUUUUUUUUUUUUUGUCUCUAUGUCUAUACUUAUCUCCAUGAAAAAAGUACAAAUAUGAAUCAGAAAAGUAAAGGAAUGGCAUGGAGUAAAUCUGAUAAUCAUGAUGGUUGAGUAUGUUUGAUACAUCCGAGAAAGUUCCCACAACUAUCACUUCGUAAGCAAGGCUACUUAAUCUAAACACUGCCAUGGAAAAAUGGUCGUAUUAUCUCUGCUGUAGCAUGUGGUCAUUUAGUUUGUUUUCAAUUUUGGAAUUAUGUUCUAACUUGUGUUAUUAUUUUCUUAAUUCAUUUGAUGCAGGCAUGGUGCUAUUUGUGUCACAAUGUACAAUUUUGGAUCUCCUAGAGUUGGAAACAAAAAAUUUGCCGAAGUUUACAACAAGGUUCCUUUUGUUUUCCUUUGUUCUUUUCAGGUUAUAGUUCAUAAUGCUCGUGAUUGAAAUUUUUGAGUUCUGGCUACUCACACUUUCAACUAGACAUUGGAGGACUCUAUAUGAUGAGAAAAAGCUUAUUGAUUUAGAAACAGCUUCCUUUUUUAGCCUAAUGUGACAUGAAACUCUCCAAAUUAACCUGCUCCUCUUCCCCAACCUUCAACUCUUGUUCCAUUUUGUUCUAUGGUUAGCUUGUCUCCUAAAGAAGCAGAUUUAAUUUUGCCACCCUGAAUGGGAUCUGACGUGCAUCAUGCCUUCAGUGUCUACUAUGAAGUACUCAUCUAAUUGUUCUAAACGUCCAGGAAUAAGAUACUAUCUCUUUUUUAACCUAUAGAAGAUUUAAGUAGCUAACACCAGUGAAUCCAUGCCCUUUGCGGUCCUUAUGCAUUGACAUUACGUGAGAAGUCAAAUGAAGUAUUAGUCACUCAUUGCUUCCUGCAUUACAGAAAGUCAAAGAUAGCUGGAGAGUAGUAAAUCACAGGGAUAUAAUUCCUACAGUUCCACGUUUGAUGGGCUACUGCCACGUGGCUCAACCUGUCUAUUUGGCUGCUGGAGAUUUAGAAAAUGCAUUGGUAAGUUCUUAUUGCAAGUUCAUUUGUAAACUUAAAAUAAAAGUUGAGAACAUGUUGCUUACUUUAAAGAAUAGUAAGUUUAACUCAGCCAUGAGCGAGCCUUGUUGGACAUAAAAUAUUUACUGGUUUUUUUUUUUGGUGUUUUGGAUAAAUGCCUUGGUGAAAGUUUGAAUGCAUCAUCGGUUUUUAACUGACCCAUGAAGUCUUUUCACCAAUAACAUGAUCAUAAGAAUCAACCUACUUGCAAUGUUCUCAGUGAUCCCGUUUAUUUGUUCUCAAAGUAUUUUCCUCCCAAUCAAUAUCCUGUGUUUUUGUUCUUAAUUUUCCUUCAGGAAAUAAGCAGAUUGUAACUAUGUGGAUAUUUUUCACCACAAAUUAGCUGACCUGCUAAAGCUUGUUCUAAUGAACUUCAUAACAUGCUAUAUUCAGGAGAAUAUGAGUCUCAUGGCAGAUGGUUACCAGGGUGAUGUGCUUGGAGAAUCCACACCAGAUGUUAUUGUCAAUGAAUUUGUAUGAUCCUGCUCAACUUCUUUUAUUUUUGUGUAUAAUUGCAUGGUCUUUUUUCACACUUAAUAUAUUAUUUCCCACUAAAUUUUUAAGAUUGAACUACUAUAGAAGUUCAGGAUGUCUUUCAUUGCCUUUAAAUCAUCGAAUUGGCUGGUGUACCAGAACUAUGGCUCUUUGUGCCAUGCUUGUAGUUUAUGUAGUCCAGAAAAUUGUAGAUAUCAGCAUAGCUAUAUAUGAUUUCUGCUUGUUGAUUUUCCAGUCUUUUCUCCUCCUACUUUCUAUUUAAAUCACAUUAGCGGUAUUAGCUUAACUGCUUUCGGAAUGAACUUUGGACACAUAACCUUAAAGGAUAUUUCAAUAUCAUCGGAUCUUUAUAAAUGAUUGUAAUGAAUGUGCUUUCAUACCAAACCCAUGAAUAUGACAUAAAUUACGCUUACUAGUUAAGAUUUUACUGCCUUGCACAUGAUUUGUGUGGCUACAUUUAUUUGAGUAGAGAUUAUAUAUUUUACAUCUUCCACAACACUUUUUCCAUGCCUAUCAAAGCUGAAGCAGAUGCUCUGCUAAUUAUUUUUAUAGACUGUACAAUUGAAUUGUUGGCCUCAGACACAAUUAUGUGAUUGUGAUUCGUUGCUCUCUAUGAUGCCAAUCAUAUGUCCAGAUGAAAGGUGAAAGAGAGCUCAUUGAGAAAAUCCUGAACACAGAAAUAAAUAUAUUUCUCUCAAUUAGAGAUGGCAGUGCUCUUAUGCAGCACAUGGAGGAUUUCUAUUACGUUACUUUGCUGGAGGUAUUAUCCUUUUUCAUAUUCGCAACACUAUCCUUUUAUAUUCCUUAUUUUCUUGGCUAAUUACAUGGUCUUUUGCUUCUAAUUUUUCCAGAAUGUCAAAUCGAACUACCAAACUGUUGCAACAUCACAAUCUAAUGAAGACAAGAGUGUAUCAAUUAGUUAAAAUCUGAGAUUAUUGUAGCUACUGAAGAUAUGUUAUGCUUGCUCUCACUAGUAGCCCUGGGACCGAGGAAGUUAAGUUGUCUUGUACAACCGCUACAUGAGAAGAAGCAAAUGCUCCUAGAGAAUUUCACUCUUUGGAGUUCUUGUAUUUGCUCAUUUAUUAUCAAGAUAAUACUCCAGCAUGCAAAAACAUCAGGACAGGCAUCGACAUGUAAAUCAAAUUUUUUUUGGUUAAAGAAUCUCUCAGCAUUUGCACAGAAAAUGAGUCUUGGCGUAACCUGUUUAUGGUAUCUUGUAAUUUCUUUCUGCAAAUUUUGAUUAAAUCCAAGUUUUAUAAUCUUUUCAAGCUCUACUAUGGCUUGGUUUUUGUUUUCUCGAUGUUUGAGGUCUGAAGCAUCAUCUACGAAGCCUUUUCUCUUUUAGGUGUCAUCACAGAAUGAUUGACUCCGCCUAUGCUGGCGACAGCUUGACAUAGCCACAAAAUGCAGAAAUCAUUGCAAAAAGAGUUUUUACAUCAACCACUUUAAUGGUUUACAUAGAGGAAUACAGUGGCCACAGGGAACUUAAACAUGAUAUUAUUCGAAGAACAUUGAUGUUGGAUUCAGCUUAUAUAUCCAACUCUAUGCUCUUUAAAAAUGUGUUUUACCUAUCUUUCUUGCCUUUCUUAUUGUGGCAGACAAUUCUCAAACUUUGUCUCAGUAUGUCCACCUCUCUCUCCCAUUUGGAUUCUUCUUGCUUCAUGGUAGCUAAUUGUGCUUGCAGAAGCUCUAUGGCUUUUUCUUUGGCCAUCAGUUCCCUUUGCUGUUCCUCCAACAUGUCUUCUGCCUCAGCUCUCCAAAACAGUCCUUCCCCUGGAAAACCAUGUUGCAGCUUAUAGUAUGGCAUUGUAGUUCAAACCAGAAUAAUCAGGGUAUGAUCUAUGAUUCUUGAACAGUAAUAUCAACUUGCUAUACCAUUAUCAGGUCUUACAUUAGGGAUUGGUUGAGAGUAGCAGUACCUUGAUUUGUUCUCUGAAUAAGAUCAUCAAGCUCGACCUUGAUGGCAAAGUAAAGCUGCUUCCACUUCUCUACAGCAUCGUCUCGCCUUGCUUGUUCCUCCCGUAUCUCCUCGAACAAGAAGCUAGGCCCCAAAAAGUGCCAUUUGUUACCACUCUUGUCCACCACAAACUCAUUUUCCAUCCCUUUAAACCUCUCUUCUCUACAUUCUAGCUGCUUCCUCAACUUCUUCACCUCCUCUCUCAACUUCUUCCUCUCUUUCUUCCACUCAGCUUCUUUAAACGCAAAAACCAUCAUUUCUCGGUCGUAAGCUUCGAUCUCAGCAUCCCUCAAGCAGAUUAUCUCGCUAACUUCCCCUUGGAGAAGCUUAACCCUAUACUGAAGCCCUUCAACAGCUUUGCGACUAGGCAUAGUCCUAUCCUUGGUCUGGUAACCACCCAUAGCUGCUGCAGGUUUCUGUGCUUGCUGGGAUCACUCAAAGGAGCUUCUGGGGAUGAAUUUGAUCAGAAGAAAGGCUCCUACAUGAAUGUCAAGCCCUCCAGCCAAAUAUAUGUGUCACUUGGGAUAUAUGAGAAUAAUGGUGGCUCCCUUAUCAUCAAAUCAAUCAAUCAUUUAUGGGACUGUGGAAGAUGCUCGUGAUGAUGGCUGCUUUUUGAACUCUGAUGUAUUUAUGAGGUUGAAAUUGGCGCAUGCAAAUAUUCAUAUCAUGCUCAAGUAAGUCACAUGUAAAAUUAUUACAGGGAGCCUGGACAUUUAGCAGUACAAGUUUGGAUUCAUCAUUCAUUUGUCAACAUGCUGCCCAACUUAUAUAGGUCCACAUUGUUUGCUGAGUUAAGGAAUGUUGACUGCAGCAAACACUGAGGCUGCUUGCUUAUAUAUGGAAAUAUGGUUGGUGACGGUGAGCAUUUUUUGUCCAAGUUAGUUAGGUGGAUGAGGAAAUUAUACAAGACUGAAAACAAAAAUCAACAUUACUGGACUAUGUUAGGCAAUGAUGAAAGGUUGGCAAAUUAAAGCUCCAAUAAAACUCAGUGAAUUUUUCUUGAUUGGCCCUUAAUUAGAAUAUUAUCUCAUUUUGGAUGAAAUAAUUGAUAGUACUAGUUUAGUCCAUACCUUGGAAUUGGUUCAACCAGAUUUCUGAAUUUACCAAGGAUGAUUCGAAUAAUGCAGCAAUCAUACCUUUUUUUUCUUUUUGGCCCUAUGGUGUCAGGGUUUGUAUGAGAAAGUGCCUUAUCCUUUUUAUGUCUAACACGUGAAAGUGUUGCCUAGCAUGGAGGUGAUAAGACAUGAUUUAGCGUGUGUGCAAAAGAUUAGUAAAACAUUAAGACCACGGCAUCCAAGUAAAUUGCUGACAGAAGGACGCAUGAAUGACACUAUGAAAACAAAAAGUAGACUCCCAAAAAUAGUUAAUAGCAACUCACCUUUUGGUCCAAUCAUACAUUAUUUACUUAUGUCUCGUAAUUUGUUCAAAGAUUUUACUGGUCCGUCUGUCCCAUUUUGAUAGAAUUGAUUUUUUUUCUCACACCGUUUUAAAAAAAAUUAGUGAGUUUUUGUUGAAAAAAUAAAUCUAACCUAUUGUUUUUCUAAAAUAUCCUUAUAUUAAUAUUAAGAGUAUCACUUAUCACUAUACCUUUAUAUUAAUUAAAACAACAAUAAUGAUGGUAUAUUGCACCAUUCAACACGUGUAUCAAAACAAUUAUUGGGUGAAAAAGUUGCCGUAUUAAAUAAAGUAUAUUGUAUUUACUGAUAAUGAAAUAUAUUAAAUAAGGAUAUUUUAGAGAAGUUAAAAAAUAACUAUAUUUUUUAAUUGAAAGGUGCAUCAUAAUUUGGAACGGAUGAAAAAGGAAAACAAAAAUUAUCAAAGUAGGACGGAGGGAGCAAAAGUACACCUUGUUGUUUCUAUUUCUCUCUUUUUCUUCAUCUCAUUGAAUCAUCUCUUGUAGUAGGGGCUUUUUUUAUUAUUUGUAAUCAGUUGUAAUUGACGCAAAAUAAGAUUUGGAUUGUAAUUUUUGGUAGAAAAUUUUGUUAGUUUUUGUAAGAAUGUCUUUUAACAUAAUUUUUAAUUAUCUUUUUAUUUAUAUUUUAUCUCAUAUACAGCACAUCUAAAAAAAGUGAGUAUAUUUUUCUAUAUAAGAACUCUUCGGAAAGGGUUCUAAAUUUCUUAGAAGACAAAUGGAAAUAAUGGCAUUGGAUGCGACCAUGUGAUGUCCCGACAUUCUCAUUUUUCGUACAAACAGCUCACCAACUUUGGGCUCGGCCUACCAUGGGAUGGUAGAUCAACAGCCUGGACUAGUUCGUCUUCACAAUGGGCCCAGAAACUGAUGGGACUGGUUUUACUAGAUAAAAAGCUUUAAACUCUAGCUCUUUUUCUCUUUUUUUUUUGGGUGGGGAAAAAUGGAUCUUAAGCAAAUACUUCAUGCACAAUACUUUUCUUUUCCUAUGAGACUCCAUAGCAGUUUACAAAUCCUAUUGGGAUACUUUAUAAUUCAUGUGCUUCAGUUUCUGGUUGAAGAUAUAUUAUUUUGCCCUAAGUUCUCUCAUCACUAUGUAGAGUGGUUGGUUAUUUUGAAAGUACCUAAAAUUUCAUUAAAUUACAAAAUUGACCACUAACAUAUAAAGGUGCAAAAAAAAAUAUAACGAGGUCUUUGAUCGACUAAGAUAAUGAUGUCAAAGAUCCCAAUUUAAUCAAGAGAAUGAUGUUUAGUUGGGAAUUUGUAAAUUGUUAUCAAUCUAGAAGUCUUGUAAACCCUCUUAACCAUGGAGUACUUUUAUUGUACAUUUGGUGAAGUGUAAACAUGACAUGGUGAUAUAAUACCUUAAUUACCAACCUGAUCAAACGGUGGUUGAAGUGAAAUCUAUCAUGCUCUUGAACUAAUAUGCCAAGUUAAAUAGCUUUACUAGAUCAUAACUCUAUUCAUGUGAAUUGAGUUCCUAGAGAUGCAAAUAAAGUAGCUCAUGAAUUGUUUCUUUAUGCCAAAUCAUCUGAUUAUGUUGAAUCUUUUUGGAAGUCUCUUCCAAUUGCUGUCAAUCACUUGUUGUUGCACGAUUUCCAGUAAUCUUAGUAAUAAAAUUUUUUUUCUUAUCAAAAAAAAAAAAAACUAAAGCAUAUAAGAUCGAAUUGGGUAGGUGCGUGCAUUAAUGUUUGAGUAAAAUUCAAUGGAAAAUUGAACACUUUCUCUCCACGAAGUAACUAGCAUUCAACCAAAUUAAUUAACCAAAUUAAUUGGUUACUCCAUUCUUCUUGUCGAAAUGGUUGAAUGGCAAACAACUGCUGCGUUAGUUAACUAAAACUCAUGCGCGUUGGACACAAGACCGAACUGAAAUGCAUUUUGUUGUCACUGUGUGUGUGUGUUGUAAGUGCCCGGUGCAACCCAAUGAGUACAAACAAAUUCACAAUGAUGCACAAAGAUAUAUCAAAUUUAAACACAAUAAAGAAAACUUAAUUAAAGAGAAAGGAUAAGAAAUGCAAACCAAAUAUCAAACCAAUAGCCUCUUCAAUUGAUGGCGAUGCUAACCAAGAUGUACAAGUGAAGGCUCACUCCUUCCUCACCCCAAACACUCUUUGGUUAAGCCAAGGAGUUUUACAACUAUUCUAGUUAACCCUCAACAACCUACACUUGAAAGAUCACUCACCCAAUUAAGAACUAUUUUAUACAAAUGAGGCAACCUUCACCAAGGUUUUACCACUCCGAGUGAUAGGUUCACCUUCACCAAGGUUUUACUCCUCCUAGAGAGUAACCUUCACUUGAGCAACCUCACAACCCAACUUUCCCAACCCCUUAUACAACCAACAAAGAAUCUUUCUAAUCAAAAAUCUCACUUGUAAGCUUGUAUUUUGUGUUGGCAAAAAUCUUGUGUCUUCUUGUGCUUUGGGGUGUUUAUAGAAGGUGAGAAAUGGCUCCAAAAGGCUCUCCAACGGUCAAAUAUUAAAUGCUGUCAAAACUAGCCGUUGGCCUGUCGGACGUCCGAACCCUGCAUCCAAACGUCGUCAGAGAGUCAUCAAAUCUUUGCGAAAUUUCUCGGACGUCCGAUGCGAUCGAUGUGCGUCCGAGGCGUGCGUCCGAUCCUUCCGGACGUCCGAUGCUUCCUCACGAGCGUCCGACAGAGUUUCCUUCUUGAUGUUCUUCAUCCUUUCGGACGUCCGAUAGCUUGCUUUCGGACGUCCGACAUGAGUGCCCUGUUUUUGCUUCUUCUUUUGUGCCACAAGAAUCUGUUCUAACAAAUUGCUCACAUAAAAACAUUAGCCCAAAUCUAUAUUUUGGUUUGUUAAUCAUCAAAACCAAGGAUUGAUCGACCAAGGUCAACAUGUGUUUUAUUCUUUUCUCUUUGAUUCCCCGAAUAGAGGAGGGGAGUCACCAUGUGUUGAUAGAAUUGUACAUGUAUCCUAUGAAAUUUUGGCUAUUGAUUAUCAAUAUGGUUUGGCACCAUUCGGUGGGUUUUUUUUUCUUUUGUUUUUUUUUUCCUUGAGGGAGAGGAUGUAAAGAGUGUGAUUUUUACAUGCUUUGUCUUUCGAAGCUAUUAUACCUCUAGUACUAGGUCUAAAAGGUUAGAAAAGACAUGUCCUAUUUGAUAAAUGAGUUUUUUAGAUGUUUGUUUAAAAUUUUAUUAUAUCUUAUUGUAGAAUUUAUAGAAAGAAUUUUUAAAGUGUAUAAAAAUUUUUUUUCCUUUUCUUUCCUUUCCUCUUCUUCACCAUCAACUCCCAUUGAUCUUCCUUCUUACUCCCUCCACUGGCACCUCCACCAACAACACUCUUACUUUUUUAUUUUUAAUUUUUUGUUUUUUUCUCCCUCUCUCUCUCCUUUUUCCUUCUUUCUCCUUUCUUCUCCUCCCUUCUCUCCUACCACCUCCUUUCCCCUUGUCCCUCAUUCCGCCACCCAACGCGAUUUGGUCGCACGACCAAAUCCCCUCUCCCUUGCCACGACCAAAUCCCCUCUCCCUUGCCACCUCCUUCCCCUCUUCUUCUCCCACCACCUUUCACUUUCUCCAAUAUGAUUUGGUCGUGCGAUUAGAUACUCUCUCCCUCAUCACCUCCUUCCCCCCUCUUCUCCCUCCUCUUUUGCCAGUCUCCCCUUCUUCCCAAUGCGAUUUGGUCACAUAACCAGAUUGCUCUAGGGAGAGGGAGAUGGCGGCAGGGGAGAGGGGGAGGGUGGCAUGGAAGAGGGGAAGGGAAUAGGAGAGGGAUGGAGAUGAGAAGGAGAGGAGGUGGAAGGAGAAGGAGAGAGAAAAGGGAAAGAAAGGAAAAAAAAAAGAAAAAUCAUUCAAAACGUCCCUCACAUUUUACAGAAUGACUUUUUUCGUCCCUCAAUUUUAAAAGUGUAAUUUUACGUCUCUUACAAAUUCACAUAGACCAAAUUUGGUCCCUACCUAGGUUUUCGACUAAUUUUUAGCCGGAAUCCACCACGUGACUUGCAUGUAAUCAUUUUUUAAGGGUAAAAUUGUCAUAUCAAAUUUUUACAUAAUCUGAUUCAUAGUCCCUCACAUUUCACAAAAUAAAUUUUUUCGUCCCUAACAUUUUACAAAAUGAAUUGUUUCGUUCCUCACAUUUCAAAAAAUAAAUGUUUCUAUCCCUCACAUUUUUCAAAAUGAAUUUUUUCAUCCCUCAUUGAUCAUGUGUACGAAUAGUUUUUUUCUAUAAAUCCACGUAUAUAUCUAUUUAAUUUUAUCUGAACAGUAUGAAUAACAUGUAAUUUAUCUCUAUUGGAUUUCAUCUAAACAUGUUAAUUGUAGUUAUACACAUACUAUUCAAUAGAUAUAUAUAGGGGUUUAAAACUAAUGAUUUUGUUUGAAACCCAUGUAUAUAUUUAUAUGAUUUCACCAUUUGAACCUAUUCAAUAUUUGUGACCUUUCUCUUUUGGUAAUAAUUUAUUUAUUGAAUUGUAUAAUAUGGUCAUCUAAUUAAUGGGUUUUAACUCGAAUUCUAUAAUUGUGCUAACAAUUUUUAGUUUAAAUAUGAAAUUUCUAUUCGACACUUUUAAGACUAACAGUUGAAUUACUUACCUUGUGAUUGUCUUAAAAUUUGAAAGUGUCAAUCACUUAUUUCUUUUUGUCAUACUUUUUUUUGUUUACUUUUUCUAUCCAAAUUUAAUUUGAUAUAAACAGUCGAUAAUAUUUAGGAUUAAAUGUCUUCUUUAUUUUCAAAUUUCGAGUAAAAGAAAAUGAAUAUAUGUGAAAACUAACAAUUUUUUUAAAUCCAUAUAUAUAUAUAUAUAUAUAUAUCUAUUUGAUUUCACUUGAGCAGUAUGAAUAGUAUGUAAUAUAUCUCUAUUUGAUUUCAUAUGUUAUUCGUACUGUUCAGGUUAAAUCAAAUAGACAUAUACAUGAAUUUAAAAAAAAUUAUUCACAUACAUGAUCAAUAAAGGAUGAAAAAAUUCAUUUUGAAAAAUGUGAAGGAUGAAAAAAUUCAUUUUGUGAAAUGUAAGGGACGAAAAAAUUUAUUUUAUGAAAUGUGAGGGAUUGUGAAUCGAAUUAUAUAAAAUCUGAUUUGACAAUUUUGCCCUUAAAAUAUGAUCACGUGCAAGGCACGUGGUGAAUUCCGACCAGAAACUAGUCGGAAAUCUAAAUAGGGACCAAAUUUGAUCAAUGUAAAUUUAUAAAUGACGUAAAAUUAUAUUUUUAAAAGUAAGGGACGAAAAAAAUUAUUUUGCAAAAUGUGAGGGACGUUUUGAACGAUUUUCCAAAAAAAAAAAGAUGUUGGCAUUGGCCGAUGACGGAGGUGAUGGUGGGUUGAGGUGAGGAGAGUAGAAAGAAGAAAGGAAGUAAGGAAAUUUUUUUGUACAUUUUGGUGUGUGUAUUUUACAAAAUUUAAGAAGUUUAUUGAAAUAUUGUAACUAAAGUUGUUAAACUUCAUAAGAAAAAACUUGACAAAAUAACUCGUUUGCUAAACAAGCCUGUAAUUGUAGAGUUUUGAAUGUUGAAUUUGAGAAAGCUCUUUAAAAUAAGGAAGCCAAGAUAUAUUACAAUGACCCAAGAGGGCAAUGAACAAUAUCAUAUGUAGCUCUUUUUUUUUUUUUGGCCUGUGACUCCUAUAGAUGGUGUAGAUUUGGAAUCAUGAUAGUAACUAGUAAGGCUACUAAUUGUGAAUGUUUUCCUCUCUCUUUUCCAUUUACUGGUUCUUCCUCUUUCAUGCUCCAAUUACUUGUGCAAGACCAAAUGCACCAAUCUCGACGUUUAAUUUCAACGAUCCCACAGAAAAAAGUCACAUAUGAGAGAGAACUUACUUUAGGUAACAUAAAGUAAUUUAUUCUUUUAGUCAUCAUUAGAGAAGGUUUAAGUGGAAGUAGAUUGGAGAAACUUUCAAAGAUAGACUUAGUUGUUUAUGGAAACUUAAUCUCUAUUAUAUGCAUUUCACUUAUUAACAUCUCAUAUAGCUUAGGAAAGUCUGAUAUCAGCUUUUGCAAGUGAGAAUAAUCAUUACUAGAAAACUUGGCCGUGCAACUAGAACUUUACUUUAAAGGUCUAAACAUUCACUGCAAGACUAACCUUUACAUAUGUUUAACUUGGUGAACUUAUGGGCUUACUAAAUGAAUUCACCCUAUGAAAAGGCAAUUAGCCUAAAAUCUACAUGGCGUAUUGCAUGUAACUCAUUAAGUUUUUUUUUUUCAAGUAUAAAUGAGAGGUUUCGAAUUUAAAACCUGUACUACCAAACCUAUCCAUCCUCUGCAUGUUAUUAAGUUAAAUAAAUUAAUCACUUCUUUGCAGUGUUAAUUUUCAAAAUGUCUCGUAAAGAUAGACAUAUUAUAUUAAAGACGAUAAGAUAACACAGCUAAAACAAUCUAGCAUGACUUACUGUGACAAAGUCUUUCACUUUCUUCAUUCCCAUUAGUAAUACAAAACCUUUAAUGUGCUAUUAUAUCAUGCUUUAUUUUUGUUCCUUUCAUAUAUCUUUCAAUAAUGUAAUUUAUAUUAACUUUGGAUUAUAUUUGGGCACAAAAACCAUCUAUCCUCAGCUAACAUCAUUAAAUUCUAAUCCAUGUGCAUUUCUGAAACACAUAGAUACAAAUACCACAAAAAAAUAAUUUAAAAACCUAAAUUAUAAUAAUGUCAACGUAAUUUAGGGGCAAUAUAUGAAAAAUCAAAAGGUCCAAAACCAUCCAUUUUUCUUCUUGUUUUUCACUAUCUUAAUUUAUUGGUCAAUGCAUGCAUGGAUACAUUCCACACCUCAAAGCCAAAUGUACACCUCAGACAAAACAUUCCUUGGCUCCCGUCAGCAGAAUUAGAGUCAACCAUCUUUGUUUAGAUAAUCAAUUCCCUGUUCUUCCAAUCCAGCGGCCACAACAGCCUAGAAUCUCGCACAUUAUCUCUCAACCGUGGAUGCUCAUUCCUUCACUAAUUAAUUAGUUAAUUAGUAAAUUAAUCUCAGGAAAAUCCGGCGUCACGACGUCGUAUCCAGACGAAACUCGAAAGUUUAUGAAAAGCGCGGGAGAGACAUGACGUAAGCAUUUCCGACAAACAAAUGAUGUCCGGAACUCUCGGCGCCUUUUCACAUAACUUGAUUAAGUGGGCCCCGUUUAGAAUCACUGGGUCGAAUUUUGACCGUCCGAUCAAGUCCUUGUCAGACCCGGAGACAUUUUUCCGACGGUCAAGAGUUUGUUUCGUGAUCGUUGAUAGGUGCUAAAGGAGUUUGUUGGCUUUGAACGAGAUUCCGAAAAUAUCCAUGGCUUUGCAUUGGAUUAACGACUAUACCCUUCGGGCUUAAUUUCACAAGGUUUUUGACUCAUUACUUUUGGGGAUAAUUUCACAAACCUCUCCUGAGGUUUUUUACAAUUACAGAGAGCUCCCCUCAGAUUUUAAAAAUUAUAUAUACAUCUCCUACUUUUACUGUUUAAUAACAAUAUAGGUCCAACAAUAUAGAUUUUCUCAUAAAAUUCCUAAUUGCCCUUUAAACUAAGAAAAAUAUAGUAUACUCAAUUAUUUUCUUCCACACUUUGCACAAAUCAACAAAUCUAAUCCCUAACAGCCAUCCAAGUAUAAGUUUUAAAAUCAAAUAGCCAUCCAAAGGAUACCAAAUUACAUGUAUAGUAUCAAUACUUGCUAUGUAAAAAAAAAAAAAAAAAAACAUACACACACACACACAUACACAAACCCCAUUGAUAGCCAAUUUUAUACCCCAAAAUUAAAUAUCAAUGCUCAAAUACCUUUUCAAUACAAAUUAAUCUGACUUAGAAUUGCUAUUACAGGCUUUCUAUGGUCUUAAAAAUAUUAAUAUCUUAGAAAUAGAGAAUAAAUUCUACCUCUACAAUAAAAUCAUAAUAAAAAAUUUCUAAUCCAAUAAAAGAAAUUCUUAUGUAAGACAUUUUAUAAAACUUUUUCUUAACAACAAAUAAAAUAUAACAAAUUCAACAUCUUUAGUUCUUUUUCUUAUUUCAAUCAUUAAUUUCAUUAUUUAUUUCUCUAUCACUGCGAGCCUCUUCAUUUCCUUCUAAUUUGACACAUAAUCUGCUCCCUCUGUUGAUUUCAUAAUUUUAAUUUGCUAAUAUCCAUAAAAUUUAAGAUAAUAAAAAGAGGGUAUAUUAACUAAAAAAGAGAGGAAUGAAAAUAGAUAAUAGAUUGAAAAAUUUCUUUGGGUUUUGUAAAUUUAUUGCAUUAAAUUUAAAAUUGUCUACCAAGUGAAGGGUAUUAUAGGUAUUUUACGAUACCAAGAGAGGUAAAUGUAAAUUUUUAAACUUGAGGGGAGCCAAAUAAAAUUGUCAGAAACCUCAAGGGAGGUUUCUGAAAUUAUCCCAUACUUUUGAGUACUAACUGCUACUACUCGAUAUAUAUUUCCAUCCUUCUUCCAUAAAAGGGUUAAAAAAAAGGUUAAUUUUCUCUGCCAUCCAUUGUAGCUAAACACAGGUAAUUAACUGUCUUGUUAGCUCAGCUAUUAACUCUGUUCGUAAAAAUAUUUUUAUUUGAGUUUGACAAUCUUAAAUUUGUUAAUUUUUUUUUUAAUUUAUGAGUUCAAGUUUUGGAAGUUUUAAUCGUUACAGUUUUAAUGUGUACUCACAAGACAUACAAGUCGAUCUAUAAAUUCUCUAAUGUCCAAUAAGAAAAAAGUAGAUUAAACUAAUAACUAAUGCGUUUAGAUAGUGAGUGGUCAUUGGGCCUAAAUAAAUUUUUGAAAGAAAUGCUAUUAUUACAAAAAGUUUUUGUUGUGAGAACUUAAUUUACAAAAUAAUCUGAAAGCAUGAGUUGAUCUAUUAUCUCAGGAAAAACGAAUUCUAAUGGUUGUUUCUUCUUUAAGAAAUUAAGUGUCCACCUAUGAGUUGCUUUCGUUAAGAAAUCACACAUUAAUGAUACUUAGUCUUAAUAGUUUUUAAGAUUCAUGUAUUCCAAACUUUUAAUGAUUUAUGUAACUUAUCACUAAAAGUAAAGGCAAAAAGGUGAGUUUUAUGUACUUGAGAAAUAAGGGUUACAAAUUCUAAUGUCAAAUAGUUACCAACUUUGUAGUAAUUUUAAACAAGAAAAUGAGUUAAAAACAAUCCUUUAAGAUCUAUAUUUGCACAAUUGGAAGCAUAACAAAGAAUGUCAUUAUUGGGAUGUUGCCAUUUUGGCUAGAUCCUAAUUGUCAAGCCAAAUUAAUCAUGUGGGACAAGUCAAAACUCACCAAUAAAUAAUCGAUCAAUGUUCUUGGCAUCACCACGUUUUCGAAGGCUUUCCAUUUAAGAAAAGGUUUGAACAAUUCCACGUGCAGCUUAGCAUUGCCAUAGACUCUAAAUGCAAGUGGGCUACCAUUAAUUUCAUGUUAAUUAAUAGUAGUAUUAAUUGGCUCAAGCAGUCAACUCAAUAUAUAAAACUGAAGAAGGAAUGAUCAUGAGCAUAAAAUUAUAAGCAUGAAAUGAAACAUUGAGGAUAUGAAGAGCAGUAUAUACAGGUUUGGCAUAGUAAUUUUGUGAAUGAAAUGUAGUAAAGCACAUCAGAUUCACUGCAGCAUAGCCAAAAUGCUAAGAAGGAAAAGGAAAAUAAAGUUGACAUGACUUAAAAUCUUUUUUUUUUUUUGCUCCAUAUGGCUGGUUGACAAAUGUUAAAAAUAUUUCUUUGUUAAGCUUUUCCCACAGUUCGAUUAUAAACAAUCUAAUUUGAAACUGAUAUUCUUGUCUUCAUUCCAUUGUAACCAUCCAUUUGUACGAGUUCGCAUACUCUAUAUGUGACUUUCAUACGAGUCAAGAGUCAUGUUAGAGGCACUAAAGGGAAUCUUGCAGCAGCAAACUGCAUUUGGCUUCCCAUCCUUUUACCAUUCUGAUAGCCCCUUUUAUUUCUUUUUUUUGUCUGAACAAAUUUGAGUGACACUGACUUUCAAGAUGCAUUAUUUUGUUUUGCCUGUAGGCUUUAAUCUUUGUGACAAACUAGGAAUAGAAAGCUUCAAUUUACAUUCAUCAAAUUCAAUAAUGCUGCGAUUACAACUAAAGAAGGAAAGCUUUCUUUGACGGGGGAAGGGGAGAAGGAAAGACCGCCGUUUAAGGAUAUUAAGUAAAUUUUGUUAAAAAAAUGUCACAAUAUCCAAUACAAUGAUUCUUAAUCAGGGAUUUUGGUGUUUAGGAAUGUAUAUUUUUGCAUUUAGCGCCAUGAAAUUGCAGAAUAUGACACGUAAAAUGAAACAACGUGUUACUUUAAAUUUAAGAAAGAAAAUUCAAGCUCCUUGUAACAUCCUAUAUAUUUUUCUUAACCAGAUUAGGUCAAUUUUUUCCAAGAGAUUGUCCACCAUUCUUCCAACAUCAUUAAAUACUAAUAAUGUUUCCUGUCUAAUUAAUAUGCUCAAUCUUAAUCUCAAAGAUCAGUGUUCAUAAAUAAAGAGUAACUAUGCCACAUUAUGAAAAGAUUCCCAAUUUCGUAUCUACUUAUAAAAUAGAAUUAGAAUAAAACAUUACAAAGACUUUUGAAAAACAAAAUCCUAAAGAUGGAAAAGAGAGAGCCAUUGCCACAAUCAAAUUUCCUAUGCUCCUAGUUGUGUGAAAGAAAGAAGAGGAAAAGAAAGAGACAAAUUAUGACCCAAAAAACAAUUAAAAGGAGUCCGUUCAUUUUAGAGGAAAAUAAAUGAAUUCAAAAAACGAAAAAAAAAUGAAAUAACGGAAAAGGAGAAAACAUCACAAGACAUUUCAAGUAAAUCAGAAAAAAGUGCAAAUUGGAGAAUUCAGCAAUGACCAAGGGUAAUUCCGGAAACUAAAAGAACAACGAACUCCCCACUCCGUUCCCGCAAAAUGACGCCACAUUCUGCAUUUCCAUUUCCUCUCUUCUCUCUGCAUUUUGACGUUAAAAUCACACACAGACACACAUUGAAGGUGGAGAAUCAAAAGGAAAGAAAAGGGACCAAAUAAGAAAAAGAGGAAAGACAUUUUCCAUUUCCAUCUAGGAAAAGGAAAAAGUUGCAGAGGAAAAUUUUUGGUACUUUUGGUCCAAUUCUGGAUUUUUGGAUUUUUUUUCCCAGGGAAAAAAAAAAAUACUCCAUUGCAUCCUCUGCAACCAUUUCAAUUUUCUAAACCCUAAUCACGAAUUUUCUCAUUGUAUCUCAUUUUCCUCUUUCUUGCAUAGCCUGUUUAUAUCGAAUUUAGGCUGUAUUGAGUUAUUUAUAUUGAGUUUUCCCGGGAAAUUGUUGAUGAUUUCGGUGUCAUUUGCGGCAUUGAGGUGAAGCUGGGGUUUUGUGAUUGCUUUCUGGUUGAAUUGGCUUCAAGAAAUGGUAACUUUUAUGGCUGUGUUUUAGUACAUUUUUGUUUUAAAAUGUUUGAAUGUGUUUUUAUGUAUUUUUGUGAGUUGAACUUAAUAAUUUGUGGCUUAAAGCAGAUUUCUUUGGGAGUGAAAGCUGGUGAAAUGUCAUAAAGUUUUUCACUUUUUGGGUUACUUAGAAAUGCAUGUUAAACUGUUUAAAAUUUGUCUUCCUUCUGAUAAAAUUAGAACUUGUUGCAUUAUACUUCUAUUAUUGUAUUUAAAAAUUGAGUUAUUUCUGUUUUACUUUGCUUAAGAAUUUUUUUUAAUUCAAAUGAAAAAGUAUAUAAUUAUUUUGCCAUUUUUAAGGCCGGAAAGAAGAAAUGAAAUGAGUUGGUGGGCAAGACUACUAGUGUAACAGGUUAUUUCUGAAAUUUAUGCUUGUUGGAUGUUUCUGUGAAAAUGCUCAGCAUAAAAACUUUUUCUUAUCCUGAAUUCAAGAUAUUGUGUAAGGAGUUGGACUUUUGUUGCGGUUCUAUGCUGAAGUCAAUUGAAAGGCAAUGAGAACUAUUGAAUCCUCUGCGGGAGCAAGAAAAUAGCAUAUUGUAGGCAUUAUUAGCUGAAAAUGUGACCAUAUAUAUAUAUAUAUAUAUAUAUAUAUAUAUAUAUAUAUAUAACGUAUAUCUUUUCCAAAGUUACUACUCUUCAUUCUUUGCUUUCUCCGGGAUGUUGGACUUCUAUGUUGAAACUGCUGUGAAUUGCAUAUCAUAGAAAUGCUUGCAUUUAAUGAUUGGUGUGGUCAAAUGCAUUAACAUUUCAAAUGGCAGAGUUUCUUGUUCUCUUAAUGGUGUGGACAUUUGCUGGUAAAUGGUGUUCGACAUUUUUGGUGGACAAAUGUGAUUAGUAUAGCAGUCUCUGAUGUCCACCAAGUUGGUAUCAAGUAUGAAAAUUGCGGACAAGCAGCUGAAUUCUGAUUCUGAAAUGAGCUUAAAUUGUAUGAGAUUGGGAGUUUAGUUCCUAAAAUGGAGCUACUUGAUUGGUUUGAAUCAAUAAAAGAUUACUGACUUUACUGUGGUUAGGCCUCUUUGGAUUUGAUUCAGGCACUUUGAAAAGGAUAAUAUUGAGAUUGGAAAUAAGAAGUAACUUUGUUUAUAAAGGGAUAUUUUGUUCACCUUUGCAUCUUGGCACUCAAUUCCUCGUUUACAUAGAUAGCCAAUUUAUUGAACAUUUACUUCUGUUGCAGACUGUUUCAACUGGUAUAGCAGUAGGAUCUCAUGUUUGGGUAGAAGAUCCUGAGGUAGCUUGGAUAGAUGGAAUCGUCUUGGAAGUUGAUGGUGAAGAGAUCACGGUGGAUUGUACAUCAGGAAAGACUGUAAGUACCACCUCUGUAGUUUUUUCCAGUUCUUGGAAUAAAAUUGUCUCUCUUUAGAUAGGUAUUUCACAUUCACUCACUUAUGUAUCAUGGCAUGUAUGUUUAUUUGUGCAUGCUAGCACCUACGCUGUUCUUGUUUCCAAAAACCAAAUGAUUGUUUCUGCAAGGAUGAGCUCUCAGAGCCCUUAAUUUAACUUCCUAUGAUCUUUAGACUGCCCUGGCAAUUUGAUAGACUAAGAUCAAGUUUUUAUAGUUUUUGGCUUGGGAUGUUUGGAGGGAUACACAUUGGUAAAUUCGUGUCAAUGUGCAUGCUCUCUGCAUUUAUAGGUAAUGAUGGAUAAUCGGUUAAUCCAUCGAUAUACAAGUUAUCUGUCAAUUGGAAUGUGUUGAUGCAUGGGGAUGAAAUUGAUAUGCUUUUAUUCCUUCCAAUAUCGAUAGAGAUGAUAUCCUUGAUAAUACUAGAUCAUAAAGAUUACUUCAUAACAGCAUUUCCUGAACAUGACUUCCAAAAAGUAGCAUGCUUAGCAAAAGUUAGGGUUGAUGAAUUGUCUGGUUUGCAGUGAUUUUGAUAUUAUGAAAUGUUAGUCUAAUUUAGGUUGUGAAAGGGACAAGACACAGUAGAUGAAUAUCAAAUGCCUUUCCAAGAAAGCCUACAUAAAUCAGAUUGUAUGCAUCCUCCAGCUAAAUUUUGUCUGGUGUUUUAACUUUUCUUUCCUAUUACUGGGUAAUUUUAGUCUGCUUCACUCAAUUUAGGACUAUCAUAGUAUAUCUUAUCUGCUUUUUAUUUAUUUAUUUAAAUUUCUAUGCUGUAGGUUGUUGCUAAUGUAUCCAAUGUACAUGCCAAAGAUGUUGAGGCUCCUCAAUGUGGUGUAGAUGACAUGACAAAGCUUGCCUACCUGCAUGAACCAGGUGUUCUGCAGAAUUUGAGGUGUCGGUAUGACAUGAAUGAAAUUUAUGUAAGCCAGCUUCUGAAAUCUUGUUUGCUUAAUUGUGUAUGUUUCGGAUCUUAGUAUGCAUGUUUAUCUUUUUGAGUUUAAUAACUUGCUCCUUGUUAUCUAUCACUAUCCAUUCAAUUCCGUUUCUCUGUAAGUUUAUUCAUUUGGCCUGUGUAAACCAUGAAUUUAAUCUUCAGGACCUGAGGAUUUGUUGUCCCACGAUUUUUUUUAGCUAAUUCUGUAACGAUACCUAUUUCUCAAUCUAACUUCUCACAUCUUGUUUUCAGACUUAUACAGGUAAUAUACUGAUAGCUGUAAACCCUUUCCAGAGGUUACUACAUUUAUACGACAAUCAUAUGAUGGAACAGUACAAAGGAGCCGCCUUUGGUGAGCUGAGCCCGCACCCUUUUGCUAUUGCUGAUGCUGCAUACAGGCAAAGCUUUUGUGCUGAUGAGUUUUUAAGCAUGUGUCUUGUAGGAUCCUGAAAAUGUUCUGAACUCUGCACUUUCAAAAUGCAGGCAAAUGAUUAAUGAGGGAAUAAGCCAGUCAAUCUUGGUUAGUGGGGAAAGUGGAGCUGGUAAAACUGAAAGCACAAAAAUGCUUAUGCAAUAUCUUGCCUUUAUGGGAGGGAGAGCUGUAGCUGAGGGACGGACUGUUGAGCAGCAAGUCCUUGAGGUUUGCAUAUUAUUCAAUAAUCUUUUUCUACACUCUUAUGAUGAAUGGCCAUGUAUUUAGACCCUACAAUAACACAGCCUCAUUUCCUGUGUUAUAACUUUGAUGUUGAUGCAUUUGCUGCAGAGUGCUAGCUUUCUUUUUCUUCAUUUGAUUUGAAAGUGCAAUCAUUCAUUUGAACUUAUUUGUCAAUGGUCUCGGAGAUUAGAUUAUGCUAGAAAUUAUGCUGUUCAUGAUAUGAUUUAGAAAAUUCCUCUUGAUCAAAGGCCAGGAAUAAUUGAACAUUUGUUUAUUGUGGACAAAAAAAGAUCAGAGACAAAAGCACCCCACUUUUUCUAAAAGAAUUAGCUAAUUUUGAGAUUCUCAUGGGAAUACAAGCCCCUAACAAACUAUUCAAAAAGUAAUCUCUUAUGAUAAUAGUCAAUGGGGGACGGUUACCACCAGUUAGGAGGAUCUAUAAUUUAGCACCAAUAAGCCCCUAACAAACUAUUAAAGUCUAAAAUAAGAUUCUUUAUUGGUGCUAAAUUAAAGUCUAAAAUAAAGCGGUAUUAAAUAGGUGAGUUUCCUAUUCCAACGACCAUGUAUAACUUCAUAUUUGAUGUCAGUACCACUAGCUUUGGAGGCCUUCAUUGCGGCAGAAAUAUGUUCAUGCAGAUUCUGUGCUGCUUGAAAUCAUGUAUAGAGCUCUGCCUCCCAUUAGUGUGUGGUUCAAAUGUUCCUGAUUUUUGUCAUUGUGCAUCCUUAGAGAAAAACAUUGUACUCUGAAUAAUGCAGUGCCGCAAGGUCCUUUCACAAAUGAAUCAUUUAACAGGACAGAUGAGGAGAUAUUUCGCUCAUCUUUUGAUUUUCUCCUGACAUUUUUCAUUGCUUUGCAGUCAAAUCCUGUUCUAGAAGCAUUUGGUAAUGCAAAGACUGUCCGAAAUAACAAUUCAAGGUGGGCAAAGCAUAGCUGUUUUACUUGGCAGUUUAGUUUAACCAUUCCCUUUAAGUGAUCAAAAGUUUCUCUACAUAACAAAGUUGAUUGUCACGCCAGUCGUUUUGGUAAAUUUGUGGAGAUUCAAUUUGACAAAAGUGGGAGAAUUUCUGGUGCUGCAAUCAGAACUUACCUGUUGGAAAGAUCUCGGGUUUGUCAGGUGUCUGAUCCUGAGAGAAAUUACCAUUGUUUCUACAUGCUUUGUGCUGCACCAAUCGAGGUAACAUAUUUCCUGUAUCUUACAUGGAAAAUGUUCGCAGAAAUAGUGAAGGCCACAUGUUUUUACUUGUAUAAACUAGUUCCAAGUAUGUGGUGGCCGAACAGAAAUGCAAACAACAACAGUUAAUUUAUGCGAUUUGUAAAGUAUAUGGCCAAUUGACACAAGACUUUACACUUAAAACUACCAGGCAUAAAGAUCUUUAAUUAUUUUGCCUUCUUUCUCUGCUCUGAAUGACAAGUUUUCUAGAUCAAAGACCGAAUGCCUCUUUUGUGCAUCUUUUCCAUUUAAAUAGAAAACUCUGUACCUUCUCUCCUCCGUCAGAAUAUCUACCUCUCUAAUGUAUUAAUUACAUAUAUGCUAAUAUACAUCUAAUAUAGUAGACCAUAAUCAGCUCUCCUUGAUUAGUGCAAUUAGUAGACUAGAUCCCAUAAGCAGCUGUUCUUGUCUUUUGCUAGCAGAUCAGAUCUCAUAAUCAGUUGCUGCCCAUGACUUCCAUAAGCAGCUGUUCUUGACUUUUACUUUUGCUAGCAGGCUGUCCUUGACUUCCAUAAGCAGCUGUUCUUGACUUUUGCAUUUAGUAGACCAGAUCCCAACUACUGCCCUUGAUACUGAAUUUCCUAAUAUUGCCAGUGUCAAUCAAAUUAACAUAUAUUUUGGUUGAUUUUCAAUAGAAGAUUUGUUGUCAUAUUGUUUACUUUUUCCCCCCUUGCUGUUAGGAUGUCAAAAAAUACAAAUUGGGAGAUCCAAGGAUGUUCCAUUAUCUGAACCAAUCGAAUUGUUAUGAAUUGAGUGGAGUUGAUGAUUCCAAGGAAUACCUAGCUACUAGGAGGGCGAUGGAUGUUGUUGGCAUCAGCUCUGAUGAGCAGGUAAUAAUAGUGUUGUCUUAUUAUGUAGUGCAUCUAGGGAGGAAAUAUCCAUUAUCUUGUAACUGGUUUUAAGGAGCAGCGCCUCAUAGACUGAGUAUGGAACAGGAACAGUGUAUAUUUUGUUAAAAUGUCCUUUUCAGGAUGCAAUUUUUCGAGUUGUGGCUGCUGUUCUUCAUCUGGGUAAUAUUAAGUUUGCCAAAGGAAAUGAAACAGAUUCUUCUGAACCUGAGGACGAGCAGUCUCGGUUCCAUUUAAAGACUGCAGCAGAGCUCCUCAUGUAAGUCAUUUGAUUCUAUUUGUACCUAAAAAAGCGAUAUUCAAAUUAGAAACUUUAUGGUGGCUUUUGAUAGAAACUCCAAAAUCUUGUAAUACCUCCAGGUGUGAUGAGAAGCCUCUUGAAGACUCAUUGUGCAAACGUGUGAUUGUAACUCGCGAUGAGGCAAUAACCAAAUGCCUUGAUCCAAAUGCUGCUGCAGUCAACAGAGAUGCUUUGGCUAAAAUAGUGUAUUCAAGAUUGUUUGAUUGGUUAGUUUGACUGAAAUGAAAAUGAGUAUAUGAUUGAAUCUUGUGUAGCUUGUCCUUUUGUUUUCUUAUACCUUCUAUAUCUUGUCAUCUUAGGCUUGUUAACAAGAUCAACAAUUCCAUUGGCCAAGAUCCUGAUUCAAAAUGCUUAAUUGGAGUCCUGGAUAUUUAUGGAUUUGAGAGUUUCAAGACAAACAGGUGCUUAACUGGUAUGCUUUUGUUUUCAUCAUUUGCAGAUGUUAAUUCUUGCAGCUAACUGCUUGAGAUCCCUUUUAACAUACACAUAGGAUCUACAAGAUUUUCUGGGUGCUUUUGUGUCUGAAUUUUUCUGAAAAUUGCGUUAAAUAGUUGGCAAAUAUAAUUUUGCAGAUCAAAAGCAUGUAUGGUUAAGUAAUAAAUGACCUGUGCUUCUAUUUUAUACUGAUUGGGCAUCCUGUCAGGUUUUCUAGAUCUACAUGUCCUUGUUAUGACAUAGGCUUUUUAGUACAUUAAUGACACCUAACUAGCCACUUUGCUUUGGAAAUCUUAAAUCUCUUAUAUAGGCUAUGGCUUCUGAGGAGACACUUUGACCUUAAAGAACUUGUUGCUUUCUUCUGAAUUUCUUGGUGAAGAGUUUUGCUAAAUUUUUUUUGCGAAACAUUGUAGUUUCACUAUUGAUGCUUCUAUAUCUGAGAUUAUUUAAUUUAAUUUUUUUGCUGAUAUGUUAUUCGGUUUGGUCUUAUCUCAUCUAUGCAGCUUCGAGCAAUUUUGUAUCAAUUUGACAAAUGAGAAGUUGCAGCAGCAUUUCAAUCAGGUUUGCCAAGAGUAAAUGUGCACAUUCUAUUGCAUUAUUGCUUAUAAAAUUUAAAUCUGGAAAUAUAGCAGUGCGGUUAAGAAAAAUGUAUCAAAUGAUUCAUAGAAACUCUUUUUUUGUUUUUUUUUUUAUUCCUUUGGCAGCAUGUUUUCAAAAUGGAGCAAGAAGAGUACACCAAAGAAGAAAUUGACUGGAGCUAUAUUGAGUUUGUAGAUAAUCAGGACAUUCUUGAUCUUAUAGAAAAGGUUGAUAUACAUCAGCGUGAAUAUAUUUUACUUGAAUAUAACUUUUUUAUAUGUUGGUGUGAGUUAUUUCCUUCUUGCUUUAGUUCACAAUGGAAGCAAAUAUAAAAACUCUUGCUGUUAAAUAAUUAAAGGAUUAAUGUUUCCUACACUGACAGUGUAUACAUUGCCAAUGUUAGAUAGAUGACAACUAUGCAAAAUUUGAAUUUGAAAUUCAAGUUUUGUACAUAUGUCAUAGAUCCAACGAUAAUAGUGUAAACACUGUCAGUGUAUAUAAGAUUUACUCAAAAAUAAAUCAGCCUUACUUCUUGUGAAGUUAUGCUAAUUAUAUUUCCUAAACUUAGACAAAAGGAUUUUUAUUUCUGAUUUAUGAUUUCAUGAAGCUUUGGAUUUAAUUUAACACAGUACAAAAGUUUAUCUUCUCUCUGCAAUAUAUGCAUACGUCCAGUAAAAAAUGUGUCGAGAUUUACUUUUUCCCGAGCUUUAUCAUUUUGAGCCAUAACAUGUGCAAGCAGCCUGAUCCCUCCUGUGUGCUGAUAUUUGGACAUUGCUGAUCUAUUGAUUUAAUGUGGUUCCUUCUAGUGGUCAUACAUUGAGCUAGUUAGAUUGAAUAUUUCUGUCCUGUUGCACUGCAUUUUAUGUUCAUCUUCAUUUCAUCAGUAUAGUCAUGCUGAUAGAAAAUGAUAAAACACAUAAACACCAUUUGAUUUUUUUUAAAAAAAUUACCUCCCACCUCUCAGUAUACCCUUCCCACCCACAAACUGCCAAGCCCAGGGUUUAAACCCUGAACCUGGCAGUGGGAAGAACUCUAAGAGCCCCUUGGCCACUGGGCAAAACACCAUUUGCUUCUUGAGUCUACUAUUCAAAAUUAUUGAGGUCAUGUUGCAUCUCUUCCGGUGACAUUUUGUCCAUUGGAAUUUUUUUUUAAUUUAAGAAUUUUAUCAGCUGUAUUUUAGUGUCAUAUUCCUAACGUGUUCUGUACUUCCAGAAACCUGGUGGUAUAAUAGCUCUUGUGGAUGAGGCUUGGUAUGUAUCGAUAAAACUUUUAACCUCAAUCAUACUUGAGUAUCAAUAUGCACCCGCAAAUCUAGAUACUCGAGUUGAAAUGCUUGUGUAAUUUGUUACAGCAUGUUUCCAAGAUCAACUCAUGAAACAUUUGCACAGAAGCUUUACCAGACAUUCAAAGAUCACAAACGGUUUAGCAAGCCAAAGUUAUCAAGGACUGAUUUCACCAUUUGCCAUUAUGCUGGUGACGUAUGUGAUUAACUUACUAGAAUAUUUGGUAUUAAAAUACAGGUUUUAUGGUUAUUUUCCUUGAUUGAGAAAAUAUCAUUCCAGGUGACAUAUCAAACUGAACUUUUUUUGGAUAAGAACAAAGAUUAUGUUGUUGCUGAGCACCAAGCACUUCUUAGUGCUUCAAGAUGCUCCUUUGUAGCUAGCUUGUUCCCACCUUUACCUGAAGAAUCGUCUAAAACAUCAAAGUUUUCAUCCAUUGGUUCUCAAUUUAAGGUAUUUGGUUUUAUACUUUUCGGUGAAAGUUAUUAACUUCUUUCACCCCCGAGAUUAACUCCAGUUUUCUGUAAUUAAUGCAGCAACAACUGCAAACUUUGCUUGAGACACUGAGUGCCACUGAGCCUCAUUACGUUCGUUGCGUGAAACCAAAUAAUGUUUUGAAACCAUCUAUAUUUGAGAAUAAGAAUGUACUUCAGCAGCUUCGCUGUGGGGUGAGUUUUGAUAGUUGUUGCUGUUUGUGAUGAGGCUUUGUUACAAUUGCAAGUAUUGUAACUAGAAAGUUGUAAUUCUAGGGAGUCAUGGAAGCAAUCAGGAUAAGUUGUGCUGGAUUUCCCACUCGGAAGACAUUUGAUGAAUUUGUAAGUCGUUUUGGCAUCCUUGCACCUGGUGUCUUAGAUGGAAGGUACUUGCUUUAACUGCUUGCGAUGUAUAGUGAUAUUUUUUGAAGUAUCUUAAUUCUUGAUACGGUUUUCCCCAUGGCUUAAUAGUUUUUUCCUUCUUUUUCUUCUCACUUAUUUCUGUUAUCAAUAGCUGCGAGGAGGUUAGUGCCUGCAAGACGAUUUUAGAGAGGGUUGACCUUAAAGGUUAUCAGGUACUUGGUCUUGAUAAUGAUGCUUUUUUCCCCUCAUUUCUGCUUGGCAAAUAAAUUGGUGAGUGCAGGAGAUACAGUUAAAAAGGAUUAAUCAAUAAAUAUAAUGGAAGUUCUGUGGGAACUGACAUCCAAUUUCCAACAAAUCUUUUUGUCAAAGUUUAGAUGUUUAAUUUUUUAAUAAGUGAAUUUUUCAUCUCCUCAUAGAAUUUUUACAUUUGUGACUGAUUAUAGAUUCAGAUCUACCUAAAGUUAACUAAUUAAUAAUGUUGUAGAUUGGUAAAACCAAAGUGUUUCUGAGAGCUGGUCAGAUGGCAGAACUAGAUGCUUGCAGGAGUAAGGUUCUUGGAAAAUCUGCUUGUGUCAUCCAGAGAAAAGGUCGUUCGUAUUUUGCCCGCAAAAGCUUUAUUGAGUUGCGUAUUUCAGCAAUACUAAUCCAAGCAGUGUGCAGAGGUAUGAUUGAUGCCUGAUGUUCUCGUUGCUAUUGUCUAUAAACUUGCUAGUAGCUUUCAAGGAAAGAACUGUCAUCAGUUCAUCUUUUUCUUGAUGGACUACAGGUGAAGUGGCACGCCAUUGCUACCAGCUGAUGAGGAGAGAAGCUGCUUGCUUGAAAAUCCAGAAAGAUGCACGCACCUUUCUUGCAAAGAAAGCUUAUAGAGCCUUGUGCUCCUCAUCUAUAUCUAUUCAAACUGGAAUGCGGGGGAUGGCUGCUCGGCAUGAACUUCAGUUAAGAAAGCAAACACAAGCAGCCAUAUGCAUCCAGGUAACCAUUAGUUGUUUGCUGAAUGGAAAUCAACAUCUAGGAGAACUUUAAGGUGCUUAUGAUUAUUUUAGUUCAUUUGCAAAGGAGUUUUUGCUGAAAGGUGUAUAUCAUAAGUAGAUCUAGGUCAGCUUUUUUCUUUUUUUAACUAUAUUGAUUAAAUAGGUCAGUGGUGUGUUUGCUACUCCGACUUGUUUGUUCUGGUCCAUUAUUAGUCGAGCAUCAUGAAUCAUAUUGCUCAUGGGUGGCAGAUAACUUUGAUAUAGAGAUGCUCUUGAUUGGUAAUUUUGUAAUUUUAUGCCAGGACCUGUAAAGAUUUUACUGCUGUGCCUCCACAGUUUUCUGUAUGCUAUUCAUUUCAUCCAUUAGAAGCAUUGAGGUCAUUUUAUUGAAAAAUAUACUAAUUUAACCUCUUGUCAAAGGCCUUACGUAGUUCUAUCCUCCAUUUGCAACACUUUCAUCUAAUCAUUUUCUUUUUCAAGUCAUCCAUGGCAUUUAUGUUGCGCUGCAUACCUUCCAUUUUCAUUCUGGAUAAGAGUUAACUAAUUGAUGCUAAUGGCUCAUUAUAGAUUACAGAAUUACAAGAUGUUCUUCAUAUGCAUGUUUGGUUGAUGUGUAUAUCUUUCCUGGCACAAGAGGUGAUCUGUUCCUCGUCCUUCCAUGGGUAUCAUGCUUUUGGGACAAUUGUUUCAGGUUUCCUGAGUUGUUCUGUGCCUUGCUAGGAUCUUUCUACAACUUCUGAAGUUAACUUUUUCAUUUUCCUGACAUAUUAUGGAAACUGCACUUCUUGAUUUGCAAAUUAUAACAGUGUUCCCUAGACAAAUGAGAGAAACUUAAAACUUUGCAUUUCACAUAAUGGCAAGCUGUGAGAAUUUUUUUUCCUUCCCUCCAGCUUGGGCUUCAGCUUUGUCCGACUCUUGAAUAUCUCAAAAUUGGAAUUUAGAUAGGGCCAUUCAUUUGUAGAUUUUUAUUACUUUUGUGUUGGCUUAAAACUUUUGAAAACUGAAUGCGAUAGAUUUUAUUUUUGAUUGCUUUUCUUGUUUGACAAAGGGAAAUCAGUAAAGCCAGUGUAUUUCUUUGACCCAAUUCCAUGAAUUUGACUUUAAAAGAAUUGCUUUUUCUUAUUUAUUUGCUGGUCUUUGUUUGAACUUACAGAAUUUCAUGCUCCUUUUCUGUCAAAGUGUGUAAUAUCCUGUUAUUUUUUCAUAGAUAAACUUCUUUUUUUUUAGGUUACAUGUUUUUUUUUUUUUGUUGGGUAGUGUCAUUACCGUGGAUAUUUAGCACGUGCUCGCUACUUGAAGAUGAAGAAAGCUGCAGUAGCUACUCAAUGUGCCUGGAGAGGGAAAAUAGCCCGUAGAGAACUACGAAAGCUUAAAAUGGUGAGAUUACUUCUAAGAAACUUGAUUGUCUGCUUUUGUUUUUUGAAGGCUGUCUAGUUCAUUUUUGAGUCUUAACCUGAAUGCCCUAAUGGAAGAUUAACACGGAAAUCAUUUUUAAGAGUUGCUUGUGUCUUCCACUCCCUCCACUUUGUGUAUGUUUGGUUCAUGGGAGUAUACACAAUCUGUGUCUAGGCUUAUUCUGCAUUUCUUUGGCAAAAGGAGACAGGAAUGCUCAUCCCAUUUAAUCUCAAAAUCCCUUUUCCCAAGCCCUUCUCCGGAUUAUAUUCAGGAUUACUUAUGCAAUUGAUUGGGUGCAAAAAAUUAUUAGAGGACAAGCAAUUUGAAGAAGUAAUAAAAUGAUUUAAUUGCACUUACAUAAAGAUUCUACUCUUUUUUCUUUUUGGGAAGAGGUUAUUACUAUAAUUUCUUUAUUUCAUUUAUGAGAUAGGAUGCACAUUUUAUUCGUAUUUCUAUGUAGUUACUUGCUAUUUCCUUCUCUGACUUUUAUGUUUCAAAUUUGAUUUGUAUCUUUGCUAUUUUGGUGAUAAACCCACUUCAUUUUCAUUUAGAUUAUGUAUGUUUUUCAUCUGUGCUGUUUUCAUAGACCAGAACAAAAAAGUAGUAAUGCUGCAACAUAUUUUUUUCGUGAGUUUAUCUUAAUUAUGUGCUAAUGAUAUUUAUCAAGAAUAUGUAAAAGUAUCUCUAUCAAUUGAUCUUCUCAUUUUAAUGCCUCUUUUUUCCUUUUGCACUUUGAUGUUAUCUAUUGUAGUAUUGCAAGGACAUGGUAUGCCUUUUAGUUUAGUCUAGGACUAAGUCAAUUAUGUUUAACAGUAUGGUGAUACCUAUAAUGUUUAAGUAGCUAUCUUUACAUUUUGUUUCCCACUGAAAGUAUGAAAUGGGAUUAUUUUGAAGAUAUCUUUAUGAGUUACUCAAGGAUUAAGGAUUUCUAUGAUGCUAGAGACUGGUAUCUUCUUUUUGUUUGUAUUCUGCUAGCUCUAUUAUGUUGUCCUUGGAAGUUAUUAGAUUAACUUUAUAUUUCUUGUGCUUUGCAAUUUUCAUUAUGCCAUAUGCUGAUGGUAUUGAAUAAUUGUGGUGGGACUUCAGGCUGCAAAGGAAACUGGGGCUCUCCAAGCUGCCAAAAGUAUGCUGGAAAAGCAAGUUGAGGAAUUGACUUGGCGUCUACAACUUGAGAAACGCAUGAGGGUAAAUACAUUAUACUACUUUCUUCUAGCAAUUUCUUUCUCUUGUUUCUCAAUGAUUAUUAAUUUUUUUUUUUUAAGAUUUAAGUCAGUUUCCUUUUUAUUAAGUCAUAUCUUGAUAUUAGUGAGAUGUAACUUCCUUAUGCUAGUUUGAUAGAAUCUUGUAGCCUUAAAAGAAAUUAAGGAUGAUGGUUAAAUUCAAUAUGGUUUGACCUAUGUUAUUUGACUUGUUAUGUAGUAUGCCUUCUGUUCAUCUUAUGAUUCAGCAUUGAUGUAUCUUGAGCAAUUAGUUCUCCUCUUUUAACUAUAGGUAGUUAAACUGCAUCUCAUGGUUUCUUGUUUUCUGCAAAUUGUUUAUCUUAAGACUUUGGAACGGAAUUAAGAUGUGUGGAUCAUGGAAGAAGAAAGAAAUUAAUUCUUGGUUCAUAAAUUAAUUCUUGGCUAAGUUAUUGAUCCUUUCAUAGGCGGACAUAGAAGAAGCUAAAACCCAAGAGAACAGACGAUUGAAGUUAGCUUUGGAAGAGAUGCAGCUUCAGUUUGAUGAAACCAAAGAACUGCUAAUGAAGGAAAGGGAGGCUGCAAAGGAAAUAGCUGAGAAAGUUCCUGUAGUUCAAGAGGUCACAGUCUUUGACCAUGAAAUUGUCAAUAAACUUACUGCAGAAAAUGAGCAGCUCAAGGUAAUUACAUUAAUUUAUUUCUCCAUUUUGAUUAAUGAAAAUGAGUUGUUUGUUUGUCCUUUUUUUAUGAACUUAUCUAAAGUCCUUAUUAAAACGUGCAAUUUUACACUUGUUAACAAUUUAUUCUUUAAGAUGCAAAUAAUAUAAUAACUACAAUGCUUUUGUUAUAAUGUCUUGCAGGCUUUAGUAAAUUCACUGGAAAACAGAAUUGAUGAAACCCAAAAGAAGUACGAGGAAACAAGUCGGCUUAGUGAGGAGAGAUUGAAACAAGCUUUGGAUGCAGAGUCAAAGAUAAUUGAGUUGAAAACUGCCAUGCAAAGGUUAUUGCAGAGAAAUUGUCAAAGCAUAAAACUCUGUUGAACGUAGAACUCAAUGCUUAGAAAGCAUUGGCUCAAUUUUUUAGUAUCACACACUUGUGCACAAACUAUUUUUUAUAUGCAAUUUUAAGUGUAUCUGUUCAAAAAGAUCAUAACAUUUCGUUUUUGGUGAAGCCUUAAUUUACUUCUGUCCUGCUUUUGUUUAGAAUUUUGAAUUAAAAUUUAAUGUUUAGUUCUGCUUUGUCUCAGACUUGAAGAAAAACUUUCGGAUAUGCAAACUGAGGACCAGAUUUUGAGACAGCAAGCAUUGCUGAACGCACCAGCUGGAAAAAUGUCUGGACAUUUGGCUUUAAAAGAUCAGGUUAAGAUGCUGGAUAAUUUAAUUUUCUUUCUUCAGACUCUCUUGGGCAUACACAUCUCACUCUUUCUGUUUCUUGCCUCCUGCAGCCUACUGAAAAUGGUUAUCAUGUAAGUGCACUUUAUGCUAUAAGCUAUGGUUCUAAAAGGAAAAAUAGUUUUUAGUUGUCAUAAUUGCCUGAAAAUACACUUUCCAAGUAUGAUAAGUUUAAUGAACCUGUGCUGCAGGAACCACAGAAUUCAGCACCUGCAAAACGAUUUGGCAGUGGAUCGAAAAGAUUUGGCAGUGAGUCAAUGAGGAGAUCCAAUAUUGAAAGGCAGCGAGUAUGUGCUCAAAACUCCUCAUAUGUGUGCAUCCUCUGUCUUAUUUUGUUCCUUUCUACUCUUGUUGGCCUUCGAAAGCAUUCAGCAAGACAAUUCACAGCCACCGAUGCAUUUGAUUUCAAUUAACUUAAGUUUCUUAUAUUCCAGGAAUUUGUUGAUGCUCUGAUCACUUGUGUUUCUCAAGAUCUUGGCUUUAGUGAAGGAAAACCAGUCGCUGCAUUUACCAUAUAUAAAUGCCUUGUUAACUGGAGAUCUUUUGAAGCAGAAAAGACUAGUGUGUUUGAUCGUCUCAUUCAGAUGAUUGGUUCUGCCAUACAGGUUAAAUUUCGACACAAUCACCUAUGCUAUCUCACUCAGGCUUCUAGUUCUAUGCUGAGCUGGUUGUUUGUUUUCCAUUAUUCAUAACCAUUGAAUUCUCUCACAUAACUUCUACUGAGACCAGAUAAUUUUAAACAUUUCUUGUUAUACAUUGUUGAUUAAUUGAAGCUAUCUUCUAUAUUGGUUGAUCCUUUAAUUUCAGGAUGAGACAAACAAUGAUUACAUGGCUUAUUGGCUCUCCAACACAUCAACAUUAUUGUUUUUACUUCAGCAGACCAUAAAAGCUACUGGUUCAACUCCACCAAAACCUCCCCAGCCAACAUCAUUAUUUGGAAGGAUGACCCAGGUGAAGAGAUCAUUGUUACUCUCUCUCUCUCACAUUGAUUCUUUCAUCUGUAUGAAUUGGUUGUCUUACUCAAUGUUAUAUUCUAGUGUAAUAUGAAUUGAAACUACUUCUUUGUCAUUAAUUGAUGAAAGCUUCAAUGUGAGAUUGAUAUAUUUUUUAGAGUUUCCGUUCAUCCUCUUCUAUCACCAACGUUUCUAUUGGUGGUCUUGAUGGCGUACGUCAAGUUGACGCCAAGUACCCGGCUUUGCUUUUCAAGCAACAACUUACUGCAUAUGUUGAAAAGAUCUACGGUAUUAUUCGAGAUAAUCUGAAGAAGGACCUAUCAUCACUUAUUUCUUCUUGUAUCCAGGUAAUACAGCCUUUCUUUCAGUUUUGGAUGCUACCACAGGAACCUUUUUUUGAUCCAGCAAUACUUCAGAUUUAUGAUCCUAAAUUUGUAGAACUCUUUGAAUCUGAAAUUGAUUUAUUUGUCAAUGCUUGAAAAAAAGAAAAAUAAAUAAAUAAAAAGAUUGAUUUAUUUGUGAAUGCUUAAAAAUGAUAAACUGUUGAAUAUAUUCAUUGCUGAAAUUGUUGUUUACUAUGUUGAAAGUGUUCAUUUUUCCUCUCAUGUGUGGGCGUCCCAUUUUCCUAUUUUUUCUGUCAGGUUUAAAUUUAUAUAAGCUUGACUAAACAGUAGAUUAGUGCAUCUUAUUAUCUUGACGCUUAAUAUCCUAGUUAGGCGAUGUUUUAUGGAUAUGCAAUUAAAUGUGUUGCAGUUUAUGAUUAAGAUCCAUUUGGCUGCCUGAUCUUCCAAGGAGUCCUUGCCUUGUUUGAUCAGUUGUAAAUUUUUUGUGGAUAUUACUUGGGACUAAAGUGUGGUUUUGAGUUUUAGCUCUGUUCCUGACUUUUCAUCUUAUACUUUGACAGUAUUAGUAGCCUCGCCUCAUAUUUUGUGUAAUUUUGCUCUUUUAGGCAUCCAGAACACCUCGAGGGAACUCUUUGAGAUCAUCUGGGCGGUCUUUUAGUGGUAGUUCUCCUGCCAGACACUGGCAGUGCAUCAUUGAUAGCUUGAAUGGACUUCUGAGUACUCUGAAAGAAAAUUUUGUGAGUAAAUUCUCCCUAGUUUAUGAUAAGAUGCUUUGAUGUAGACAGACAUCUAAUCUUGUGAAUCUCUUUUCAUUUUAGGUGCCUCCAGUUCUUGCUCAGAAAAUUUUUGUCCAGAUCUUCUCUUGCAUAAAUGUGCAACUUUUCAAUAGGUAGAUUUUUACCCUUCAUUGUAUGAGGAAUAUGCAAAUUACAUGCCACUUCUUUGCUGUAAGAAUGUUAAUAUUCUUACACCAAUUCUGCAGUCUUCUCCUCCGUAGAGAGUGUUGCACAUUCAAUAAUGGAGAGUAUGUGAAAUCUGGGUUAGCUGAAUUGGAACUUUGGUGCGGGCAUGCAACGGAAGAGGUAAACAUCAAUUGUGCAGUUCAUGGCAGACUGUCCACGAAAAUAAACUGAUAUGCACUGGAUAUUGUAACUCUUCUGCUGCAUUUCACAAUUGCUUGAAUAGGCUAGGUCUUGAAUAUACUUCACCAAAAAGAUUGUGAAUCCUUGUUCAUUUCUGUGCUGCAGUAUGCAGGAUCUUCGUGGGACGAAUUGAAGCAUACAAGGCAAGCUGUUGGUUUCUUGGUAUGGUUCACUUCUUUGAAUGGAAAUUACUUAUUGUGAGGCUGCACUUGUUGGCAAACCAAUUAGCUUGGUAUUUGAUCCAAUAUUACACUUAGAAACUGUAAUAAUGUAUUCUUCAUAUAAAAGAAAAUUCUCAUGCUCCUAAAGCUGCUUAACUAGUUAUGGUGCAUAUGAUCAUUUGUUAUUCGUUUUUUGCUUAUUUGUUAUUUAAUUGAAUAGCUCAUCUCUUGGUUGCAGGUUAUUCACCAGAAGUCUAGAAUUACCUAUGAUGAUCUUACAAAUGAUCUCUGCCCUGUACGUAGUCUGUUUUGGAUCAUUAAUUAUUUGUUUUUUGCUUCUGGGGCAGUUGUGCUAGCAAGAUAUGUUUUGAAUUGUUAAACAUAUACAUUUGGUCUCUCAAUGCUUUCUACUUUGCUAAUUGGAAAAAGCGGUUAUGUGAACUAAUACAGUGUUAGCAUUGGUGUGAUAUGGUAGUAUAUUUCACUCAUGUUCUGCAUUUUCAGGUCUUGAGCAUUCAACAGCUUUAUAGAAUAUGCACGCUUUACUGUGAUGAGAACUACCAUACUCCAAGUGUAUCCACAGAUGUGAGUCUCUCUCUAUAUUUUGAAAUUGACUUUUUCUGGGGGUUGGUGAGAGACGGGGUGGAAAGGUGCUGUAAGUAGAUUUGCUGGGACCUUUUAAAUCCUCCUUGGAGGUUUGGAACAUUGUCUAAGAUCCUCACUCAAUUUGCGGAUAGUUUCCGGAAACUGCAUAAUGACAACUUGAGAUUGAUUAAACUGUGGUUCUGUUCCUUCACAUCAUGUAGGUGAUUUCCAACAUGAAGAUAUUAAUGACAGAAGAUUCAAAUGAAGCUGAUACCAGUUCGUUUUUAUUGGACGAUGAUUCCAGGUAAUGUGUUAAGAAAAGGGGUUCGAUUCUGGAAGAAAAUAUUCUUGUCUGUUGACCGAUGUACUUUUUGACUGCAGUAUCCCGUUCUCAGUUGAUGAUAUUACCCAUGACCUGAAGGGGGUAGAUUUUACAGGUGUAAAACCUGCAGAAGAACUAGUUGAAAAUCCAGCCUUCGAAUUUUUAAAGGAAUAAGGCUGUGGUUUCAUUGGCUAGACUUUGAAGUUCUAAAGUGGAAGGAUUUGUUGGAUCCUUUUAUUAGGUUAGUUUCAUUGUGUAUAUCCAUCAAUAGCUUCGAUUUAGAUAUGGUUUUCCUAGAAAUGACUUCUACUGCCCCGUAUGUAAAAUUCUUUUGAAAUUAGAGGAUUGUAAAAUGCAUAGGUUUUGUGAGAUAGGUAGAAGGGGCAUGGAUAAAAUCUUUAUGCCUAGCUUUUUUCUGUCUAGGAUCACCUUCAGCCAGCAUUUUUUGUAUCAAUGAUUCAUCGAAUUCUUGUACUGCGUAGGGAGCUGCCACUGCUUGGCCUUCCAAAAUCAAAUUGUACAAAAAACAGUUACAAUGGUAGAGUUAUUUUAGUUCUAUCAUUUGUCGGGAAAAUCCUGUGCUCUUUCAUUUGCACCUGCUGUUAUACCUUCUAUCUAGUUAUGUGCUAGAGAUCAUCGGAGUUGUUGAAGAAUUUAUCUAGUUUACGAAGUCUUGGUAGUUGAUAGCUAAAUGUGCAAAAAUGGUUAAACAAGAACUUUGCAAAAGGACUUGGUUUCCAUUUUUGCAUCAUUUAAAAACAAAACUCGAUUUUCAGGAGAAAGCGACCUAUAUGCUGCUAAGGUUGUCAUGUAUGCCACCCAAUACCCUAUUUUGAUGAUUUCAUGCUCUUAAACAUCAGAAAUGAACUUGAAACAAAAAUUUCAGAUGAUUUCAAGGUAUUGUACAGGUAAUGGUGAGUAAAGCGGGUGCGAUUUUGUUUGUAUGCGAGCCAAGGAUUAAAUUCUUGAAGGAGAACUCGUCAGACUUUGGAGUGACAAACUAUUAAAUUGCAUUAAGUCUUCCUACACAUAGCCAAGUCUUCCUACACACAGUCUCUAGAUUCUUUUAUACAAGGCAAACUCUUAUAUACAAAGUUUUAGGCUAUUCCAUAAGUCUCUUGGACAAUCUAGAGUGAUUCGAAAGCCUCCAAGGCUUUCUACAUACUUUUAAUAACAUUUGGAAGAGGCUCCAUGCAUUGGCCAAGACUCCAUGGCUUCCCAUUGUAAAAAAAAUUAAAAUUUCGGUUUUAUGGAAUUGAUUUUUUAAGACUAAUAUCCAAUUACCAUCCAAACUUUAGUUUGGUAGAUUGGAUUGGAGAACUAGUAAUUCAAUAAUAUCUGAAAUUCAAAAUGUCAAUAGUGAGUUAAAAUAUAUUAAUUUUUUCAAAAAAUUGUUGUGACAAAGUAAUAUUCCAUAUGUUUUUCCAAUAAAAUUCAAUCAACUUAACUCAAACAAACAUGAUAUGCAAAAAAAUAAAUUCAUAAUUAUGUUCAUAAUCCUAAAUCCUAACUCAUAAUCUCAAUUCUUAAACAAUAGUGAAAUAAAUAAGAACUUCAAAUUUAAUUGUCAAGCUACACUCCAACAUGUCAACUUCCAUCAAAAUUUGACUUCCAAGAAUAGUUAUAGUUAAGUUAGCUAAUUAGUAAUUACUAAUUACUAGUAUUUAGUGAUAGGAUUAAGAUUUACUCUUAUAUUUAGUAGUAUAUAUAUAUAUAUAUAUCAUUAUAUUAUAAAAUUUUCGAUAAUUCGGCCAGUAAUCAGUAAUUUGGUACUGUAUUUUUAAUAGCCGUUCCCAAACCAUUUUAUUGAACAUUAUAUUUCAAUUUUUCUGAAUUCUGUUUUACCGAUAUCCAAAAUUCGAUCUAGAUUGGAUUGACCAAUUUUUUUUUUUCAAAAUAUUAGCACCCCUACUUGUUAUUUAUUGUCAUCUCAACAAUAUACGACACGGCUGAAUUUCUUUUCUUCAGCAUCAGAAAAGUACAAAAAAAAAGAGAAUAUAUUUAUUUGCUUGAAAUUCUUGAUAGGAAGCAAUGGAGGAAUGAAACUAUCCUCUAAUUUGGAAAAGAUCAGCAGUGAUUUUCUAUUUUCCUUUUUAACAUUUCAUCGUGAGUUUUUAGAUAGCAUUAUUUUUUUCAAAUAAUUUUUUAUCUCAUAUAUAUCACUUCAUAAAAAGUGCCAUAGUAAUUAUUUCAAUUAAUAUUUCAAAUAAUAUUCUAUCCAAAAAUGUAUAUUUCAAGGUCAAUCUAUUGUCAUUUUUAUGAGCUUAAGACAAUUGACUAGAUUUUAUAUGAUUUGAUCAUGUAAUUGUCGGUGUCCAAAAUGAUUAGGGAUUUUAUGAUAGAGAUUUUGCAUCAUAAUUAAACACGCCACUUCUAUUUUGUCUUUAACACAAGUAUCUUUUGUUUUUAUUUGCUCCUACUAAUUAGUAAAUACACCACGAUUUCAUAAUUAUUCUUCCCCGAGUUGCUUUUUUGCGCAGAAAAAAAAAAUCAAACAAAAUCUCAUUAAACAAGAAGCAACUUAAUUAAUCGAACCCUUGAAUAAAAGAAGAAAAAAAAAUGAAAACCAGUCCAGACAUGAAAUCCCUGAAUUUAUUUUCUUCUUCUGCUUCAUUCCAACAGACAUUUUCAAGACUGAUUAGAAAGAAAUGGAUACAUAAAGAAAUAUUUCUCUCCUUAACUAUUUUUCUUUUGGGGAAACACAGAAACUUUCUCCAGCAAUUAAGAGGCACAUGCCAAUCCAGUACUAUAGUAAUUUCCUUUUGGGAUCCUCUGACCAUGUUUUUGAUGGUCAUGUGAUCACAUGUACUCCCAAGUUUUCAUCCAUUUUGUUCUCAGAAUUUUGAUUCUCGGACCAGGGGCUAAUUAUUCUAAUUUCUAUAUUUUUAUUAUCUGAUACCGUUAUUACGGUUAUUACAGUUAUGCAGUUAGUUGCAAUGCAUGUAGAUGACGUAUGUGGACAGAAUUUACAUGGUCUUCUUGGGAAAUCAACAUGGAGUUGGAUGAGAUUUAAUGUUGAUCCCAUGAAUGCAGACAUUUUAGUGUACACAAAAAAGUAUAUUAUGGGACAGAAAAAAUCUAUGGAUUUGCUUAAAAGCCAAUUUGGAAAUCUUAAUUGCCAUUAAUAUGAGUGCAUUGUCAGAAGAAGAAACCUUAAUACAAUGAACUAUGAACAAAUCUAGACUUCAAGUCUGAAAGGUUUACUUGCCCCAAGAAGGCAGAAUCAUAAGACAAUUGAAUGUGUUUAAGAGUCCCCCUUAAUCCACAUUGGUUACUGAAUUUUUUCUGUACAUCAACUCUUAUAUAUGGAGAGAUAAUAGGACCCACAAGAGCAAAUGGGGGUUUCUCCACUCUAAAUUACUCCAUUUUUUUGCCAUGUUUUAUUGUGCUUGUCUUGUUUACCUUCUUGUUAGCAUAAAUUUUCUAAUAAAAGAUAAUUAUGACCCAUUAAUAGGUAAUCAGUAGGAAAUCUGAUACAAAAGGUACGUUUUAAUUUGAAGCAAAUUUCACAUGCAACACCUUUCUCUUCUUUUAUAUAUGCUUUUUGGGUUAUUUUAGAAGGUAAAGAGAGGAGGAAGAACUUGUUGGGCUGAAUGACUAAAUGAUGCAGCCAACUGUGCUUGAGAUAGGUGGAUAACCAUUUUAAGAAGAGGAACAAUGAAAGCCUUGAGCAAUGAUCUACAUCUAAUUCUCAAUUAGUACGCCAAAAGUAAUCAUAAGAAGACCACGGAAAAUUGAGUAUAAAUGGUCUUUGUAUUUUUAUAUUUUUUUGGUAAAUAAUAGUUUAGGAAGAAGGUAAGUUUAGUCCAUUUCAGUCAAGGCAGGAGCUUUGCACUAGGACCAAUUUGUUCCCUCAAUUCAAUCAAAUCUUGUCCAAGUUUACUCCAUUAACUUAUUGAACUAUUUUAAGGAUUUAACCAAAGCUUAGCACAUGUUAGAUACAUAAGACCAAAAAAGAGAGAGAGAGAGAGAGAUCAAAAGGGCGGAAGGGAAUUGCAAAUUUUCAAACAGUUCAAUAUUUUUUGGGAUGAUCAUCAACGAAUAGAGGCACUAAUCAAGGCAAAGACUCAGAGAUAUUAAAACAAAGUUAGUUAUCUUUUUGUGGGAAGCACAAGGAAGAUUUUGACCAGGGCAAGUGCGCCAUGUUGGGCGUGGUUGAUUUUCUUUGAGUACAAAACAAAACAGUCUUCAUUCAUUUAAAUCCUAGCCAUCGGCUGUAUUAAUAGUACCUCAUUAUUGAAAACUGAGUCAAAUGAAUGUGGAAUGAUUUAGGAUAAAAAAAACAAAAAGAGAUGACAAUGUUAUGUUUUUUUGUGCUCAAACAUGUAGUUUGAUGCUCAAUCAUGGCAAGCUUCUAUUACUUAAUUUUGUUGAUACCUCUAGUUUCUUUCACUAUAUAAUUAUUUGGUUGAGAUUUGUUCACUUGUGUGGCAAAUCAAACAUCAAUCAUAAUUGUCCCUCAUUAGGGAUUGCAUAAAUGGCUUUUUUUUUUUGGUAUUACGUGAAAUAUAACCAAUGGCUUAAGCUAUAACUAAAAGGGGUUUGAACUAGUAUAGGUGUAAAUUAUUGAUAGGCAUACAUGCGUCAAAUUCAUUAGGUACCAUUUUCACAAUGCCCACCAUAAGUUUAGCUAAUUUUCUUUUCUGGGGCAAAAGGAAAUAAAUUUUGCUAAGUUAAUUAAGACACGCCCUCUAGUAAAUCAAAUACCAGCACGAGGAUUUGUUGCUACUCUCCAAAGUCAAAUGAAUGAUCACGAGUCUGCAUGAAGGAAAAAUCAAGACUUUCUGACUGUUGGCGGAAAUGAUGGGAGAGGACCUUUGGUGUAUUCAAAGAGUCUAAACUUGUCAUGUAUCCAUGUGAACUUUCUUUGAAUUUGAUAAAGAAUGAAGAACAUUUUUGCUGACCAUAGCUAAAAAAUUUGUGUGGAAGCUAGGGUAAUUUUUUAUUAAGACUGUAUUGUAUCCCAAAUGCACAAUGUUAGUAAAUGUGAUGCAAGUAAUUUAAGCCUAUGGGUUGUAGAGUGGAUCUCAUCUACUUAAUUGAGUUUGUGCAUUAACUUAGUGGUUGCAAUGAGUACACUUGAGCAUAUGAAAUAAGGGAUCAAGGGUUCCCUUCUUUCAUUGUCUUUUAAGAUAUAUCUUGUAGGACCAAAAGGAAAAACAUUUGUAAUUAAAUUGGUUUGUUAAUAAUUUAUUAGGCCAUUAAUGAAUUAAGAAAGGAAAACAAAGGGAAGUACUCUUUAGUAGAAUUAAUUAAUACUUGGAGACUUGAGGAAAUCUUAUGGGCCCUGCCCUAAUCAUGGACUAGCUAGGAUGACCAAUCAUUUUUUUGUUGUUUCCACACUACUUUAGUUUUUCAUUCACAAAGAACAAAUUUUAACUACCAUUUGGGGCGUAAUGUGAUCAACUAAAGGAAAAGGCAAGAAAUCACAAAAGCUAAAGAUCAAUAGAUUAUGCCUUCUGUCCUCCAAUAUUUUUUAGGGUUUUUUUGCUAAAAGCCUAAAUAUGAAUUGAAAGCACAAAAAGAAAAAACAAAAGAAAGAAAGAAAGAAGAAGAAGAAGUUGUUGUAGAAAGGAAGGAGAUCCUUUAUUCCGGUGGAGGGACCCCAUAAUAUUAGUUAUUAUACAGAUAAAUAAAUCAAGCUUCAAGACUCUAGUAUUAUAUCCAUCACUGGAAAAAGAUAAGAUGGACGCAAAAUGGGAUUUGAUCCAUUAGGUCAAAGCAAUUCUGAUAUACUUAAUACACCGAUUGAUUAAAACCGUGUUUCACAACUUCAGACUUAAUAUCCAAUGAUUACCCCCUGGCAUCUAUUCCACCAAAGAUAUUUCUUUUUCUUUCUUUUCUAAGAAAUAAUUUGAAGUAUUAGUAAACAUGCAUUUGCUACCCUGCAUGCAUCGGCUAUAGUUUUGGUUCACCUUUGAAAGUGAUUAAAGAAGUUUUAGUUAAUUGGGUUUUACUCUCUGUAGUAUAAUUUUGCAACAGAAACCUAAAUAAGCAUAAAUGUUGUUGCCAUGUUCUGCUAGGCGGUAUAAUUGCUUUGUAUACUAUGAUUAUUCAGUAAAUAGAUACAUUUUUUUUUUAUAAAACAUAAGUCAAUAUUAUUAAUAAUAUAGUUGAAAAUCGUCCAACACAAUUUGCUUGAUAAAUGCUAUUUAGUAUUAGUAUAUACUACUAAUACUUUAUUAUAUUAUAUAGGUAAAUGCUAUUAAUAAUAAUUAGUAUAUGGUAUUAUCAAUUUAUCAUCAUAUCAUUUACUUAUAAUAAUAAUAAUAUAUAAUAAUGUACAAUAUAUUAUUUUAGUAUUUGUUAAUUGUUAUAUGACUAUAAUAAUACCAAUAUAUAGUAAUACAUAACAAUAUAAGAUAACUAUAAUACUUAUUAUUUUAUACAUGAGUAACAUGACUAGAAUUAGAUAAUAAUUAACACAUAUAUGUAUAAUACUAAAUAUUAAACAAUAAACAUAAUUAGUAAUUAAAUUUAGAUAUUGGUAAUUUGAUACAUCAUUCAUGUUUGAAUUAUUGAAUAUUUGAAUGCGUAAUCUCUAACUUGCAAGUAUUAGUGUACUCUACAUAUUUAACAUAAAAAUUCAUAUUAUCUAUUCACUAAUCUUAAUUCUUAAGACUUUAAGUAUAGAUAAGACAACUAAGUAGUUAGCAAUGUAAGUGAAUGCAUAUGAAUUGCAAAUCAAUGUACUAGUGUAUUGACUUUCACAAUAAUAUAUGUAAGUAAAUAAGUUUUAUUUUGAUUUGAAAUAAAUUAUAAGUUUGUAAGUAAUAUAACUUAUCACUACUCAUUGUAAUUUGUAAGUUUGUAACUAAUAUUACUUAUUAUUAAUCAUUGUAAAUUAUAAAUUCAUAAAUUAUCACUAAUCGUUGUACAGUCUAAGGUUUAUUCUAGUUUAAAUUAAUCACUUUUUAUGUGUUCCUUAAAUCAUAGACUAAUGAUUUUACGCAUAAGUUAUCAAAUAAGUUAAAAUUCAUUUUAUCUAUUUACUAAUCUUAAGGCUUUAAGUAUAGACAAGACAACUAAGCAGUGUAAGACUGUAAGUGAAUGUAUGUGAAUUGCAAAUCAAUGUAUUAGUGUAUUGACUUUCACAAUAACAUGUGUAAGUAAAUAAGUUUUUAUUUUGAUUUGAAAUAAAUUAUAAGUUUGUAACUAAUAUAACUUAUCACUAAUCAUUGUAGUUUGUAAGUUUGUAACUAAUAUUACUUAUUAUUAAUCAGUGUAAAUUAUAAAUUCAUUGUAACUACUAACUAAUAUUGCUUAUAAUUAAUCAUUGUAAAUUAUAAAUUCAUAAAUUAUCACCAAUCAUUGUAUAGUCUAAGGUUUAUUUUAGUUUAAAUUAAUCACUUUUUAUGUGUUUCUUAAAUCAUAGACUAAGGAUUCUAGGUAUAAGUGAUCAAAUAAAUGCCAAUUAAACCACAAAAUGAUUAGAACAUAAGUAAUGUGUUCAAUUAUGAAUAAAUUUAGGGAUCAAAUCAGUAAUAAUUUAUAAAUCAUAGAUGAAUUCGGUUUAACCGAAUUCAUUACCGUUUUCGAAUUUGAAAUCGGUUGCGGAAUGAAUUCGGUUAUGCCCAAUUCGAAAUUGAAAACGGUUUAAAUUUUUACAUGUAGAAUAACCGAAUUCACCGAAUUCAGUGCACCGAAUUACCGAAUUUGCAUCGAAUGCACACCCCUAGAUUAUGCCUUCUGUCCUCCAAUAUUUUUUAGGGUUUUUUUGCUAAAAGCCUAAAUAUGAAUUGAAAGCACAAAAGGAAAAAACAAAAGAAAGAAAGAAAGAAGAAGAAGAAGAUGAUGAUGAAGAAGUUGUCGUAGAAAGGAAGAAGAUCCUUUUAUUCCGGUGGAGGGGCCGCAUAAUAUUAGUUAUUAUACAGAUAAAUAAAUCAAGCUUCAAGACUCUAAUAUUAUAUCCAUCACUGGAAAAAGAUAAGAUGGAAGCAAAAUGGGAUUUGAUCCAUUAGGUCAAAGCAAUUCUGAUAUACUGAAUACACUGAUUGAUUAAAGCCGUGUUUCACAACUUCAGAGUUUAGUAUCCAAUCAUUACCCGGCCCCUGGCAUCUAUUCCACCAAAGAUAUUUCUUUUUCUUUCUUUUCUAAGAAAUAAUUUGAAGUAGUAAACAUGCAUUUGCUACCCUGCAUGCAUCGGCUAUAGUUUUGGUUCACCUUUGAAAGUGAGUAAAGAAGUUUUAGUUAAUUGGGUUUUACUUUCUCUAGUAUAAUUUUGCAACAGAAACCUAAGUAAGCAUAAAUGUUGUUGCCAUGUUCUGCUAGGCGGUAUAAUUGCUUUGUAUACUAUGAUUACUUAGUAAAUAGAUACAUUUUUUUUUAUAAAACAUAAGUUAAUAUUAUUAAUAAUAUAGUUGAAAAUCGUCCAGUACAAUUUGCUUGAUAAAAUAAUCUGCACUAAUGACAGAAAUAGAUACAUUUUGUCUAUGGUUUUAGGUAAAUGAUACCUUCCUUGGCCUUAAAUCAAUAAAUACUUGCAAAAUGAGUAUAAUAAAGCUAAAAAACUACAAGGAAAAUAAUGGUUAAUUUCAUAUUGCAACCUUGAAUCAUAUCCCGAUUCUUACUUUGGUCUUUUAACUUUUAGUUUAAGAUACUUUUUAAACUCGUUUGACUUUAAUCCAAUCAAUAACGAAAUGUGAAAAACUGUCGAAAGUGUUGCUAUUUUCAGUUAUUAUAUUGCUAAAAUUAGAAUAUUAUGUUAAUAGAGAGUGAUAGUUAUUCCGUUAGUUUCUGUAACAUUCCACUAACAAUUAGACUAAAACAUAUAGGAUAAGUUUAGCAUUUUAGGAAGUAAAACAUCCCAAACUUUAGUUCAGGGACAAAAGUAGAAAUUAGGGUGCCAAAUACAAUCAACCCAGAAAAGAUUUUUUUUAAAAAAAACAUCUAGAUCUUAUCAAACGGUCGGGCUUCAUGAUCUGAUAUAAAGCCUUCUAUGAACAUCUUCUAGGAAGCUUGUAAGAUUCUAAAGAAUUGCAACUUUAUAGGCCCUUGAUUACGCGUGGAUGUGAAAUUAAUAUAUAUUCAUUGAAGAAUGAUUAAGAAUCUACCUACACGUUUGCUACGUAGGUUUAUGCAAAGUAUUGCCACCAAAGGAAGGUACGAUUACAAAGACUUUUGACGAUAUUGAAGGCUAAAGAAGCAAUAUUAUGGGAAGAAAAAAGAUUGUGACCCAUUCUUAAUGCCAAAAGUGACUGGUGGAUGGUAAUAGAGUGGCCCUCUCACAAGCUGUCUAAAACAGCUUUCCUAUGGUAAAGCUAAAGUACACAUCCCCUUAAUAAAGAAUAAAUGAAGAAAGAAAAAAGAGAAAAUUAAGAAUAGAACAAUGCUAGGAGGGCAGCAAGAUGUUAUGAAAAUCAAGGUAAAGAAAAUAUUACCAAAUGAAGAAAAAAAAAAGGAGUUAUAAGUAACUUAAUUGCUCAAACACUAAUAGGUGUAUUUAUUAAGUUAAAUUAUUUUUUAAACAAGAACCUUUCCCAAAUAUCAAACAUAGUGCGCACGCAUUAAGAGUGAAAUGUCAUUGCUUUACCGUUCUAUGUCUUUCUGCAUAAAAAAAAAAAAAGUGUAAAGAUGUGAAGAUAAUUUUGGUAUGAUGAUUGUACUCUCAUUCCAAAGCCAUUGGAAAGAUAUAAGAUAGUAUAUCCCAAUGAGAGGAAGAAACAAGGACUACCAUCUAAUGCUUGCAUGGAAAGAAGAGACUAUCUUAGCCAAGGUUCCAUGCAUGCACAUGCACCUACACUUUCUUGGCAACCACUCUUUUGCCAUUACCCUAAGCUAGAACCACAAAAUCACAUACACAAGUAUAAACAAAUGAUUUGAGUUUGCUCAAUGAAACGAAGAUCAGAUGAUUUUGAGCCGUCUAAUUAAGUAUAGUCAUUUAGUGUAGAUUGAAUGAUUUUUCAUCGAUCAAAUUAACUUAGCUUUCUAGUAGUCAUGCUACAAACUACAAUGGAUAUUGAAACAUGGUUUUUGGUUGGCGCAGAGUUGGACUUUGUGUACACCAAAACAACAUUUAUAAUCUCCAUGCAGAUGUGAAUAUGUGAUAGGUAAUAGAUGUAGCAAAUCAAAGCUUGAUUGUGGUUUCUUUUUCAAAUUGCAAUCUCAAAGUAUGGUGACUGCUGCAGAGUGAAAGUAGGUGUUAUUGUUGGGGCUGAGGCGUGGUUCCAAAUUCCAACAGGGAAUGUGAGCCCCCCCAGGUGCAACUGGUAGCCUUCAUCGCCCUACUUCACGUGGGCGCAUCGCGCGUACCCUUGUCAGCUUCACCUCGUGGGGAUGAACUAGGAAGAAAUGAAGCUUCCCACCGCUAAAACCAGGUUGGCUCACCUUGUGAUCAGCAUUGGACACCUUUUUUUUUUUCUUUUUUUUCUUUUCUUGAGUUUAUGAUCAAACUUCUUACAUUUACAUAAUCUUUUGUUGAUAGGUGAUCUGUAUUAAUUUUUAAGAAUUAAAAACCUUGAAUUUAAAUCCCUUUUUCCUUCCUGUUUUUUAAAUUCCACUUGUUUAUCGGUUGAUAAAAUAGUGAUUUGUAAAUAUCACUAUAAAUAUUGGGUGAUGCUUGUGAUUUAUUUUGCUUUUGAUCGAGUAGGAUAACCUGCAUUUCUCCUUUUUUUUUUUUUUGGCGACAACAAGAAAAUGAUAAAGAAAAGAAAGCGCCAUCACACUACAAUCUUUCUAUUAUUUGAUGUGCAAGUUCUAAUAACGUCACUUGUGACUUUUAAGAUUUCAAGUCAACAUAAACUGGUUGCCGACGUCCUGCAGAGUUAAUUCGACAUAUCCAUACUAAGAUUUUAUGUGCUUGACUUUGACUAAUAAAAGUCGACUAAAGAUUUUCUUUUUAAAGGAUACAUAUAUAUAUAUAUAUAUAUAUAUAUAUGAAAGUUUACAACUUGUUUGGAGAUUUUUUUUUUUUUUUCGCAAUGAUAGAUGUCCUAUAACCUACUCUAACCUAAUCUAAGGGAAGGGGUAAGGGGAAUGGUCAACUAAGACCAGCCACAUAUUGUGACAAAUUUUUUGUGGGAGGUGGGGAUUGAGAUUUCAGUCGUUUUUUGUUUGGAGAUUUCAGUAUGUAGCCGUUGGAGGUUUUAGCUUUUAAAUGUUUAAGCACACUUCAGUCUGAAACGUGUCACAAUCCUAUCAUUUUCAAAUGAAAUCUUAAUCAACUUUUUCUUUUGGAACUUGUAGAUUCAAAUGCUCAAAACUUCGAAUUGAGAAGUGUCAUUAGGCCUUUUGCAAUUAGAAUAUCAAACCAGCGAAUAAUUUUGGUGACCGUUGGAAGACUAGUAUUUUCUAGAGGCAAUUAUGACCUACAUGAUUGAUUUUAAAGUGAUUGAUAUCCUAAUUAAUUGAUUGAUAUUUUGUUAACGAUUAAUAUCUCCUAUUUAAUAAUGAAUGAUUGAUUGGUAUCUUCUGUUAAUUGAUAUCUCACUAAAUCAAAUAAUCAAUCAAAUAAAUUAAUUAGUCAGAUUUAUUAUUUUCAGUUGUGAAUUGACGGAAGAAAACCCUAGAGAUUUUAGUAUUUGCCGGAAGAGUUUCUAAACUAACUUAUAAUCGGUCUGUGAUACUCUAUCUACAAAACAGUCUCUUUGGUUAAACAUAGGUUAGAGGCUCCCUUGCUCUAAUUCUUUUUUUUACGUAUAUUUUAUUUUAUUAGAAUGGACCAGAAAAAGGCAAGGAAACAAGGAAGCCUCUUUUUAGAUUUCUGCUACCUAGUACAUUCAUAUGUACACACUUAGUUUAAUACCUGUUUAUUUACCCUUUAAUGAUAAAUGAUACCAACGUGUUUGACAACUAAAAAUUUACAACAGUAUGCGGGAUAUAGAGUCUUAUCUCUUUUUGAAGCCAUUUACAGAUUCGAAUGUGGAAAACAUUCAUCCUGUCUAACUUAUUGAGGCCCCUUUCAUACCCAACGAUCUCUUUCCUUUAUCUGAAGCAAGAAUAAAUCUUAUCUUGAAAUGACUUUUCUUAGCCGAAUAGAUAUUAUAAUUCUUGAUGAAUAGAUUAGCCAGCAGGAACGGGCAUGUAGCUAUUGCAAAUUCAUCUAGUAGCCUACAUUUUGGAGGUUCGAAGAUUACAUGUAUUAAUUCUAACCAGGGUGUAAGUUCCCUCAUGAAAUGCCAAAAAAAAAAAAGUUUUUCUAACUCAUUAAUACACUUAAAAUUCACAUAACUUACUAUGUAUAUACACAUAUUAACAAUUUAUAUACCUUCCUUAUUUAAUUUUACCCACCUUCCCUUGUAUUUAUUUACUUUCUCUAACUAAUUAAUCAUGCAUUUUAAAAAAUAUGGCACCUGCAAUAUUUCUUAACAGGCACCUAUUAGACAGACCAAAAAAAAAAAAUUUUUUUAUUUGACCCCGUAUCCUCAAUUUAUGCUUCACUCUACAUGGAUUAUUCAAUUGUAUCUUUACAAAGUAAAGAAUGCACAAUUCCAAGUAAAACUCCUCCUUAAUAGAACUUUUAUUUACGCCAUGUAUGUUGUUAAUUUUUCUUAAGGUGGUAGAGUUAUUUUUUUUUAAAAGAAAAUUGCUUCAUGCAAAUUAAAAUAAUAGCAUAAUGUUACUUGUACAUAAUCUCACGACCUCAACCACUCCAAAUACUUCCAUCUUGCUACCAUUUUAACAACCAUUUCGAUCAUCACAACCCUUUGUCAACACCUCUUCGUCCUCAUUAUACUUCAUUGGAUCACACGACCAUCCCUCUUUUAGCAUAAAAUCUUCUAUUAAAUUGGAGAAGAAUAUUUAAGAAUUCUCAGUAAUAAGAGGUUAAAAAGUGUUAAAUUCAAUUAUGAAAAAUUUCAAAAGCAUAAACUUGAUGGAGUUUUCUCCUAGUAAAUCAAUUAAUGUAUAUGCAAAUAUAUUUUCACAAAAUAGAAAAAAGAAAAUAUUUUACAAAAUUUCUUGGGUUGCCAUCCCCGGAAUGCACAAGUCUCUAUGCUAAUAUCCGUAUAAAGAAUCUUGAUACAGUAUAUAGUAUACAAUUCUUGAAAUCAAGGAUGUCAAAAUGCAAAUUCCAACAUGGAAACUUGAAUCCAAGUUCUUGAACUUGCAUCUUCAUAUCUCUCAUAAAUCAUAGGGUAUGAAACCGUCACUCCACUUUAUUGCUUCUCCUAAAAGCAAAACAAAUCUGACUUGUUACUACAUUUUUAUAUUGAUCUUUUAAAAGACUGUUUGCAUAGCUAUUGCCAAGAAAUGCUACAAAAAUAUUCGGUAACUGAUGCAACAUGAUUACAAAAACUUUUCUAAAUUUGCCAUCAUUAGCAAAGUCUAGUUGUAUGUUUAACUAAUGAGCAUGCACUUAUAUCCACUUAAAAUAAACAAGUAAAUUAGACAGCAUUAACUCGAGGAAUUGCCGUCAUAGCUCAAAAGGACAGAAUUGUAGAAUUGCAUCAUGAGAAUUGGAAUUCAAAUCUUGAAAUUAUUAUUACUAAUUAUUGGGGUUUGAUGAGCUCUACCAGUAGGAAGAUUAGUCCGUAUAGUCCAGGAAUUUUUUAUCUGAAAAAUCUGUUGGAUGAAGAGCCCCUUGUUUUGCAGCCAGGCCAACGCAUUCUUUUGGAUCUUGAUAAAGUUUUGGAAUAUCUCUCACCACUUUAGUGCAACUAUGAUAAAUAGUACAAGUUGUUUUGUUUAAUCUGCCAUUGUAGUCAUGCAAACAUGUUCACUUUUCAUAUGUGCAAAAAGAGAUCCAAAAUAGCUUUGGAUUUUUGCAAAGAGCUCGCCGGGGGUACCACUUGCUGAGCGAAGCAAUGCAAUCCAAAAACCUGAACCAAAAGUUUAAUGUGGAUGGUAGCUCACUAAUUUUCUAAGGAAAACCUCUAUAUAUGGUAUUCUUGAUGUGUUGAGAAACUAUGCCAUUUAUUAAAUUAAACUCAAUUUCGACACAAAUGUUUCUUAGUUUUUAUUUCAUGACGUACAGCAAAAGUUAUGUGAUGGCAUAUCGAAUUAUAAAAUACAAUAAAGUUAUGUGAAUGUACACCAAAUCAUGAAAAGAGCACAACAACUGGAUCAAUUGCGCCUAAGGCCAAUCAUACCUACCCCAUCCCUGUUUUACUCUAUAGUAGUUCUUAAGAAAUGGUUUAAUGAAGGAUUGUUGCUGGUAGAGAGUGAAAAAUAAAAACGUGAUACUUACCAAUUUAGUCAGCUUAAGAAACAGUAGGAAACAUGUCUGAACGCUAUCGCUCCUUUUUUCCUUUUGCCGGGGGAGGGGGGGGGGGUAAUUUAAUUAGAAUUUUUUUUCAAGCAAAUAAUCGGUUAAAAUAUAAAUCAAUCAUUAGCAAAACACUGAAUGUUCGAUCAGUAACAAUUUCUUGAAGAAUGGUAAGCUUGGCUGAUGGUGUUGAGAGAAGGGGCCAUCAGCUUUUUUUUUUUUUUUUUUUUUUUUUUUAACCGUGUAGCUGUAGGAAUAGAUCAGUCUGAAAACUUCUAAUUUUCUCAUACUGAACCUUGACUCUUGAAGCAUUGAUCAGAAGCCUUUUACUAUUGGGUAGUGUAAAAGUAGUAAAUCACUUCCAUGAAAAAGUGAUGUAGCUCUUAUGGUUGUCAGCUUUAGUUUCUUGCAUAUUUCCUUCCUUCACAUAAAUAUGAGUUUUUGGAUCUAAUUUAUGGAGAAGUCUUCUUCUUCUUCUUUCUUUUUUCUUUUCAUUUUCUUUAACACUCUUAGUCUCUUCCGCAUUGUAUCUGAGAUAUUUAUGGAGUUUUAAGAAGUUUAUUAACAACUGCAGCGUAUAGCUUUCUAUAUAUCAGGUAAUUAUAGAAUUGCAAUGCUCAGUUUUUUUUUUCUUUUAAAGACUACCAAAAAGUUUUGAGAAUUAUGGCUGAAUUAGUUCUUGUCAUAGUCUUUCUUAGUUUCCCCUACAUUUACUGAUGUUGUUUGCAAGAGAAAACAUGCAUUCAAGUCCGGCAACUUUACUUCCAGGCUAGAAAGUAGUUCUCACUGUAAAACUCAUGAAGAAAUCAUUGCCAUUUGCCAACUAACUAUUUCAGAGAGGAAACACGUACGUUGUAAUGAUUCAUCUGUUCAUAGGCUUCAAUUUUCAAAACGUAAUAACUAUUGUAUGGUACACUCUGAAGUUGACUCCAUAUCCCAAAUCAAGUCUUUUUCUAAAGCAAAAUUUUGGGUAGAAAUGGAGAGCAAGUCGAAUUUACGUGUAAAAUAAUUAAUCGUCUAGCAGGUAUGUAUGUAUGCCACACAAAGCAGUAUUAGAAAUAAAAUUGAUUUGGAUACUUAGGUAUCCUCUUAUGUGUCUUAAAUUCAGUAAACAACUAUAAGACUAUAAUAGGUGAGUGUCACAUUUGCUAAGGACAAUGAAAACAUCAUUGUCAUAUCCUAAUUACAAGCUGCCAUCAUGCCCUGACCUCCCCUAUAUAAAUCUCUCCAUUCGUCUAAACCCCCUCCACACAUUUCUCUUGGAAGUUGAAACCAAUUUCCUCACUUCAUUCCUUUCCCAGUUCUCUUCUCCUUCUGCUCUUGUUUGUCCUCUAUCCAUCAUUUGACAAAGAUUAAAGACAAAUUUGCUUUUCUAUAUUUGGAAAGUAGCCUCAGUUCGGAUAAUUUUCAUUCUUUUUUAAGCUCCAUCACACGUUCCAACAAACUCUUGAUGAAUAAUCAAUGUAAUCUUUGUCUUCCACCUAUGGCUGAUGCUUCAGAACAUGAUGAACUCUUUGCAGGAAGACGAAUACUGGUGAAUGGCCCUGUCAUCGUUGGUGCAGGCCCGUCAGGUUUAGCAGUGGCAGCUGGCCUUCAACAGCAAGGUGUUCCAUUCAUAAUACUUGAAAGGGCCAGCUGCAUUGCCUCUCUGUGGCAAAACAGAACGUAUGAUCGCCUUAAACUUCAUCUUCCAAGACAAUUCUGUGAACUUCCCUAUUUUCCAUUUCCCAAAGAAUUUCCAGAAUACCCCACCAAGAAUCAGUUCAUUGACUACCUCGAAUCUUAUGCUAAACACUUUAAAAUUAGCCCGAGGUUUAAUGAAUCAGUACAAUCUGCUAAGUACGAUCAGAAGUGUGGUUCAUGGCGAAUCAAGACUGUCGUUGCAAGCGAUAAUUCAGAGAUCGAGUAUAUCUGCAGCUGGCUGGUGGCAGCAACGGGAGAGAAUGCAGAGAAGGUGGUUCCAGAGUUUGAAGGCUUACAAGACUUUGGCGAAGUCAUGCAUGUUUGUGACUAUAAAUCAGGCGAGGCUUAUGAAGGAAAACGUGUGUUGGUGGUCGGUUGUGGCAAUUCAGGCAUGGAGGUUUCACUUGAUCUCUGCGACUAUAAUGCAAUGCCAUCCAUGGUAGUUCGAAGCUCGGUAAGUCCACCAUCAUACAUUGAGCAAUUAGAUUCACUUCAUUUUUUCCCAAAAAAAUCAAAAGCGGGCAUAUCAGAAGGCAACAUAAGGACGUUAUGGAACAUUUGUUCUCAUGUUCUGGCUUGAGGAACCAGGCAAUUACAUUUAACUUCUACAUAACAAAAUUCUAACUCUUUUUGGUCACAAAUCCACAGGUUCAUGUCUUGCCAAGGGAAAUUCUAGGACUAUCAACAUUCCAACUAGCAGUAUCAUUCAUGAAAUGGCUACCCGUUUGGCUUGUGGACAAGAUAUUGGUCACUGCAACAAGGUUGAUUCUGGGAAAUUUGGAGAAGUAUGGUAUAAAAAGGCCAUCUGCAGGUCCUCUGGAGCUCAAGAAUGCUGAAGGAAAAACCCCUGUUCUGGAUAUUGGGACACUUGACAAAAUUAGAUCUGGUAAGAUCAGUAUUGUCCCUGGGAUCAAGAAGUUCUUCAGAGGGGGGGUUGAGUUGGAGAAUGGAGAAUUUCUUGAAAUUGAUUCUGUAAUUCUGGCUACUGGAUAUCGCAGCAAUGUCCCCUCAUGGUUGAAGGUGAGAACUCAAACUAGAAUUUGCAUGUGUUUUUAGGUGUCUAUGUUUUAUUGUUUAAUACUAGUGUAGUUACUACUUAAUUAGUCAAGUCAGUUUUACCUCUGUGUGGAUUCAUGUGAUCGUUAUGGAAGUUGGUUUCUCCUAGAUUCUCUGUCCAAUCUUGUCUUGGGUCAGUAUGCAGCAGUCUGGUCAGGUCUUCAGUUGGCUUCUCUUUUCUAAUAAUUAUCCUUUUCCCAAAUAAUUUCUGAUCUGCAGAAAAUGUGCAGAAAACCGCCACCGAUCCGCAUGUGACACCCGUUUUUAGUUUUUUUUUUCCCCUUACACUGUUAAACUCUAUGGAUAGAAUAGUCGGUUGGUUUCCUUUCCCCAAGAAAAUUGCCAACAUUGAGAAACAUUUUUUGUUUUUCUUUCUUUGGGUACCUUUUUUUUUUUUUUUGCGUACUUUUUUUUUUUUUUGGUUAUUAUUAUCGUUUAGAUCUCAUCUGAGAAAUUUUCUAGAUGGGACCUGACAAUUUUUGUGUGUUUACAGGAAAAUGAAUUCUUUUCUGUUGAUGGAUUCCCAAAAACUCCAUUUCCAAAUGGGUGGAAAGGAAAAGCAGGGCUUUAUGCAGUUGGAUUCACCAGGAGGGGCCUCUCUGGUGCAUCCUUUGAUGCCAUUAGAGUAUCAGAAAGAUAUUGGCCAAAUUUGGAAACAGGAACUAAAACAGAAGAACCAAGGUGCUUUGUCCCUUGCAAAUAGAAGAACAUGCAAGUCAUAAUUCCAAGUAUAUGUCAAGGUUCUAAUUCAUCGUCUAAUGUUUCUUUCAUCUUUCUUUUUUUUUUUUCUUUUUUUUUGCAUAUUUGUACUUUGUAAAAGAAAGUAGUUCAGUUUAGGUUGGCAUAGUUUGAUCAGAAAAGGACACAAAAAACAGAGAGCAGCCCUCUCCGGGAAAAUCCCAACAUGAUUUGGGCAUUUUUGAAUAAAAGGAAGAAGAGGCUUUUUAACCUCCUAGCUUUUGUGAAUGACAUUUUGGUACAAAAGUCCAUAUUCCUUUGAUAUCUAAAGCUUUAUCUCAAUUGUCUCCUUUACACCCUCUCUAUAGCAUAAUCAAGAAACCAAUGCAAAACACUUGGACAGACCUAAUUUGACAAAGACUUGGCAUAUUUGUACUCCUGCAUUUUAAAUGCAAGAAAGUUGUUAUAUUUCAAUAGGGUAAUAUUUACCAAAGACGAAGACUAACACAUUCCUGAUUCCACAAAUUUGGUCCAAGAAGUAAUAAAUAGAGCAGGUGGGAUCUAUCUCUCCACAAUUUGGUCCAUCUAGGGACCCUUUUAAAGGACGCGGGGCUGGAGCGGUUGUUCUGACAACCGCUCCGGAAGGUGUAACACCAUUUGUACAUGGUGUAACAUCAUCUGUACAAGGUGUAACAAUUGAACAACAGCGAGUAAAAUAAAACAACAUUUUUGUGGGUCCCACACGGCGUGAAAAUCGAGUUACAAGACGUGAUCUGAGCCGCACAAAUUUUUGAGUCUUCAUCCAAGCCGUGAACUGCCUGGGACGGUUGUCGCCCCUCGUCCCCUUUUAAAUGUGGUGGACCCUGUAUCCAUAAUUCCCCAGCAUCUCUAACCUAUUGAAUGCGAUACCGACUCUUCACUGUUUUUAUUCAGGAGGUACAUGUAAAACUCUGGUAAAAUCCAUAUUGCCUAGCACAUGGAUAGCGCCCACAGACAAGAAGAGAAAAAGGAGGCAAAGAAGAGAGAAUCCCUUUACUCCUCUCAAGUCAAAACUGGAGAGGCCGAUCAUCAGAGUUCUAUUAAUUUAAUUCUUGAACAAGAAGUUCAACAACAAAGGGUACAGCCCAGUUUUCUAAUGUUUCCCCACCUAUGGAAAAUAGCCUUUCUAUACCUUGAAUGAAUGCCACAUGAAUCUUGCCAGUCGCUGUCACCGCCUAUGGUUAAGGGGUGUACAUAUCCUCAAUUCCAUGGAGGCAAUUAAACGGAUCAGCCACUUCACUCCCAAGGUGUCAUACGACUGCUCCAAGCCCUUUUCAUCCAGAAAUUUCUUUCUCAAAGUCAAAAUACAAUACAUACGUUUAUCCAAUUUGCGAAAUGUCAUCUUUCAUUUCUAGCACAAAACGGAUAGAGAUAAACAUUGAUGCUCCACAGUCAAUACCGCCUAACUCAUAAACAGACAUGAGCGUAAUGUUCCAUGUGAGAAGUGAGUAAUAGCUAACUUAUCUGAUAAAUUAUUCUUUUCCAUCCAAACAGAAAAGAAAAUCAAUGUAACAUAAUCUUGCUUUCUUUUCAUCACUUUAUACUUCAGAUAUAAACAGGAGCUAAGUAGAUUUCUUCGCAUGUUUGCUCACAAACUCUCUAAAUUCAACGAACAAUUAGUGAACUCAAUUUUCGGUUUGCAGAUCCAGCAUAAUUUCAUUUCCGAUAGAGCAAUCGACCAACAUGGGUUCUUUUAACAUAGAACUUGGAAGAAAAAGUUAAAAUGCAGUGCAAAAAUAUAGACACCCCAUAUGUGCACCCAUGCUGUUGAUUCAACCAUGCAUUAAAGCCUUUAUAUAAGUGGCCCAUCUAAAGUUGCUCCACCACCACACAGUAAAAUCUCAUUAGAAAAUACAAACUUGUCAACCUCAAACCUUAAUGAACAUGAACUUAAGCUCACCUUAGUCAACUUGGCUCCACAGAAAGAUCGUGUUUGAAUUUUGCUCUAGUUCCAGUCAGUGACAUGGAAGCUACAGUUGUACUUCUGUCUUAUUGCAUUGGAACAUUCUAAAGUUGUUCUCAGUUCUGCAAUGUCCUACUUAGAUAUUGCUAUUUCCAAGAGAAUAAAACACACGCGAUCUGGUCACAAACACUACUCAACAUCCUCUAGUUCAUUAAAAAAAGACCCCCAUUCCUACUUGUUUUGAUGCAUCUUGACAGAUAUCUGUUGAUAGCUUCAAAGUCCUGGAAAUUUGAUGGUGGGCAAAUGCCUUUUGUCCUUCUUCCAGAGUUACCUUCGAAAAAUAUAACCAUUUCAAGUUGCCAUAUAUCUACAAUUAUUUCCAAGAUGUUUUCACGCUUAAUUUUGUCCUUUAAUGGCUACAAGGGAUAGAAAUUAGACGGUGGGUACUUUGUGUCCUUUGGUCAUUUAAGUUCUGAUGUUUCCUUAAUCAUACCCAAAGCAUUCGUGCACUUCAUUUUGACUAUAUCUCAAUGUAGUCUAGUACAGGUUACAUUAGCUGGAUUAUGAGCUUAAAUCAGAUGAAUUACAGGAAUACAUCAGAGGACUGUACUAGGUACAUCAAGAAGCCUUACUGUCAAAGGACUUACAAGGAUGAAGUUUUUUAAUCAUUUUUGGCAUCCAUCUUGACAGGUUCCAGACAUUUUCUCAGACUUCAGAAGGAAAAAAAACAGGAGGACAACAAAAGAAUCUAAAACCAUUCCUAUACAUGACUAAACAAACUUCCCUUCCCUCCCCAGUAAGAUGUGAGUUGUCAUCUGAGUUCAUCAGUGCAGAACAGUUGACCUAAUGAAGACUAUGAACUAGCUGCGGCACUCUGGAUUAUACAUAGCUCAAACUAGUUUGCAGACUGAAAACUUUAAUAGCAAGUUUUAACAGAUUUAGUCAAUUGAUUUCAAGCAACAAACUUGAUCAAGUACUAAUCUACCUAUCUGAACCGGAACAGUUAUCAGCAGUCAUUUGCAACCCCAGAUAAAAGACCACUGUAUUGUCAAAGCAUGAGGAUAACAAAAAUAUUCGUGUGAGGAAACCAAUUUACUUGAGCUAAGAAAAUUAUAUACUCCAUACAGGACCUGUCUCAGUAAACUAGUAAUUCCCUCUAGGAAGAUUCACAAAUAAUACUAAACCUGAUUAAGGAUGUUGGAGAGCAUAAACUACACUGAGUUAUUAACAGAAAUCCAUGCAAAAUUUACCAGUAAACAAACUUAUUCUUCAGAUUAAAAACUCUCUAUUAUGUAUGCUCAAUGUGAACAUUCCAACAUGGCGAUCUCUUUUGAAAGAAAAACUAGUCUGAACGCUAAUAGAAGUUGAAGUUCAGAAUACAAUGAGCAAAGUUAACUGGAAAAUCAUGGCCCUAUCACAUUCUUAGUCAUGCUAGAAUUUGUGGAAUAUCUAUCUGAGUCACACAGCUUAGUUGACUUCUAAACUAACUGUCGAUUAAAUACAAAAUUUACAUUUAUAAGGGCCUGGAACAUGGAACAUAUGGGACAUGAACUAUGACCAAGUUGAAAGGUGCUGCUACCAUUGUUGACAACAAUGCUCAUUCAUCUGCGUAAGAUAUAGCGAACAUUCAACAUGGAAGAAAAAUCAGUUCCUUCACUUGUUCUACUCAUUAGAAGGUUUAUCAAGCUAUACAUGCUUGAGCCCACUUUUAUCUUUCUAGACAAAAGACAAAUUGCAAAUCAGACGAUUGCUAUGGUCCCUUUUUAAAAUGGUUAUGACUGCAUGUUGUGCAUUUUCAGGCUACACAACGUUUGGACUUUUUAAAAUUUAUGUCCACAGCAAAAAUUUAUGCUGUGGACAGAAAUUUAUGUUGAAAAAAGGUACUAUAAAUUUAUACUUUUUAUGUCAACAUAAACUUAUGUCAAAUUUAUAAGGGCCUGGAACAUGGAACUUAUGGGACAUGAACUAUGACCAAGUUGAAAGGUGCUGCUACCAUUGUUGACAACAAUGCUCAUUCAUCUGCGUAAGAUAUAGCGAACAUUCAACAUGGAAGAAAAAUCAGUUCCUUCACUUGUUCUACUCGUUAGAAGGUUUAUCAAGCUAUACAUGCUUGAGCCCACUUUUAUCUUUCUAGACAAAAGACAAAUUGCAAAUCAGACGAUUGCUAUGGUCCCUUUUUAAAAUGGCUAUGACUGCAUGUUGUGCAUUUUCAGGCUACACAACGUUUGGACUUUUUAAAAUUUAUGUCCACAGCAAAAAUUUAUGCUGUGGACAGAAAUUUAUGUUGAAAAAAGGUACUAUAAAUUUAUACUUUUUAUGUCAACAUAAACUUAUGUCAAAUUUAUGUGACAAAUUUAUGUGACUAAAUUUAUACACAACGUCAAAUUUAUGUCCCCAGCAAAAAAAGUACACAUAAAUUUGACUUUUUAAGACUAUCCAAUUAUCAAGUGACUCUCCCAACCACCAGCUCUUGGGCUGGUGGCCAGGGGAAGGGGUUAAAGCCCUUCCCUGCUGACUGGUCAGGCAAUCAAUCCCCUGGCCAGCCAGUUGGGGUGGGAGGGAAUUGGGGAGGGGGGAAGGGGGAAGGGAUUCCCAAAAAAAAAAAAAAAGUGACUACUCAUGCUACUGUCAUUGGAUUCACUAGUUGUCCUCUAUCAAUGCACUACACAGUAGCAUCAGUGUGAUCUACCACCAUCUCACCUGUCCUAAGCGUUGACGGGAUAUCAGGUGAAUGCACUCAAAUUUCAAGAAUCCACUUAAAGAAAUACUCAUAUGUUCUGGCUUUCAAAGGAUGUGCACUUAACAUGCCUAAUGCAAGGUUCCUCCGAGUGAUUCUAAAACAACAUGCAGAGUCUUGUCUUAAAAACACAUGUAUUGGGAUGAUGCAAAAUUCAAACUAUGGUUAUGUGAGCUUGGCAAGGAAGGUUAUAUAAGUAUAUUUCUGUCCUCCUUUCAUUGUGUUCACAGGUUAUUAUACCCAUCGUUACUUUAUUGGUGCACAAGAACAAGUGCCAAUGCAAGAUAUAUGCAAAAGCAAUACCAAACAAUUUAACACCACCAAGUGGAAGCUAAUAAUGACUUAACAAAACAAAAAUCUUAGAUAGGGAAGGUCGCAAUGUUUCAUAAGUAGAGUGGAGACAAGCGAGAGGUACCUUUUAGUAUUAAUAGACUAUCCCAAUUAAAUUUUAAGAAAAAAACUAUAUAUGGAAUCUUCAGUGAGCCAUGUCUGAGAUAAUACUAUUACUCACGGAUCCCCUCACUUUCUGGUGAAAUAACAAGUAAUGAAUUGAUAAUGAGAGAAAUAAGAGAGGGUUGUUGACAAACCGAAGACGAUUUCCUUACUUUUGGAACACUAAUGAUCCAUAAAACAAUCAAUAUUUUUGUUUUUAAGAUUUCAAUACAAUUAACAACGUUAUGUGAAAUAACCCCACAUGUACCCAUAUGGUUUAUUGCUAUUCAAUUUUAACUUUUUCCUAUUAUUCUUUAUCUUUCUUUUCUAUUAAUCUGCUAGUUUGUUUUAUGAGGCAUAGAUAAGAAAGAUAGACAUUAUAAAACUGAAGUAGAAUAUAUAAAAAGACUCUUUGUUUCUUCUGAUUUACUCAAUUUUUAACAAUUACUUAACAAAAUUUGUUUACAGCUGCAAUUCAUGCUUUGACAUCUAUCUCAAAAUUUUUAAUGUUAAACAAAUUAAUUACGAUUCAAAGGAUUAAACAGCUCUAAACUAUUCUAUUAAAAAAUAACAAUCACUUGAAGAAUGAGAUAGCAUGAUUUAAAAAUGACAGAUCAAAAUCUCCAUUCAAGGCCAUAAACUGUUUCUCUAGAAAUAAAGUCCAUUUUUCAGUGUGCAUCCAGUAAUUUAAGAAUCAAGUGCCAUGAGGACUCAAACUCAAGUCACAGGUACUUGAGAAAAAAAAAUCACGUGAUAUUGCCUUUAUGAACUACCAUAGGGAAAACAAAUUUCAUUGUAUCCUCAGAUUAUGAUGUGUCUUAGUGAAUCGCACAUUAAAAAAGGAACUGGUUCAGUCAAACUUUUCUUUAUCUCCUUUCUUUGGAAUAAAAAUUACUAAAACAUUUGAAUUGGUUUGGAGUUCAUGCAUAAUAGAAAAACAGUUGUUGGCUAGGUUGGUUUCUUUUCUAAUUAGUGCACUACUGAUAAUCAGAAUUUCUUGAUCCAAGUUUUCAUACAAGCAUUAGUUUGACUUGCUGUGAAGCAAUGAGUUUUGUGCAGAACAGUCAAGUAUCUCUAAUUACAAAAUCUAAAGGAACACUUGGUACUACUCUUUUCUGGAGACGAAUUAAGAUGGAGGGCAAAAAAUUAGACGAGUUGAACUCAAUCUAACACAAGCCUAGGGAAUGAUAAGGGUCAGUGAGUGAAAAUAUCAUUUUGUACACAAUUCAGACAGUUUGAAAUUUUACAACUGCCAGGAUAAAUGAGGGUCCACCAAAUAGGCCAAAAGCCCAUUUCCUCAGAAUUUAAAACCUUUUCUUCUAUUAAAUGCUGGCCACUUCAGGUACUGAUGAAACUUGGAGCGGAAUAAAGACUGACCUCAAAUAACUAUGAUGUUUGCCUUC